CGCCUGGGCGGGACCACCCUCUCCCCCUCCCCGCCUGGGCCUUCCUGCCCUCGUGGGGUCUGGCCGGGUCCGGCCUUCCUGCCCUCGUGGGGUCUGGCCGGGUCCGGCCUUCCUGCCCUCGUGGGGUCUGGCCGGGUCCGGGCUUCCUGCCGGCCGCUUUCCUCGUGGAAGGGACAGACUCUUCCCGGUCUCGCCGGCACCCGUGGGCUGAACAGAUGUUACCUAGGUGUGGUGGAGAUCUCAUUUGAUAUUGUUUCCCAAUAUCCUCAGGAUGUGCCCAGCUCGGGUGUCUGUCACCUUCUGCCAGGUGAAGUCCGUUUAGUAACCCCGGGGACUUCCAGUUAGUGUUCAGCACACAUGGUCGUUGGUACUCCUAACCGCGCCCGGCUGACCCGGCCUCUGUGCUCUCGGGUUUGGGUCUUGUUUAUUGUGUCAUCAAGUGUAUGUUUUCAUCCUUCCCUUUCCCCUCAGUAACUGGUCACAGAUUCUCCCAGCCCUGCAGGGCUCCAUAGAAUGACUGCCUUGUUCCUAAAUUCAAUGCAUUCCUGUCUCUUGGAAUCAUCUGGGGACUUUCCUUCCCAUUGGCAAAUUAUGCCUGAGUUUGGGAUAUUUUUUGUUUCUGUGCUGACAGGGCUAUCUUUCUCCAGCUCUUUGGGGACAAUGCAGUGUCUUACAGUUGACCCUCUUGAAUAGACGAAGUCUGGAGCUGGGUUUUUCCAGUUACCCCAGAGAAGUGCCUGGAGGUGUUCUUUUUGUCACCUCUAAACUGAGUUGAUCCUGUUGCCUCAGAGUCUUGGGCUCUCUCCUUACCUGCUUUGUUAGCCCUGGGCAGGUGGAUGUGCCAGGCACAGCUGGGGAGCAUUGUCUGGUUCACCUGCAACUCUGUUUUUCUCCUUUCCACUUACGUUUUGAAUUAUUAUGCAUAAAAAUUAUUUAUAUAUACACAUAUGUAUUCCAUAGAGUACAAAAAAUGAUAAGUACAUUUCUAUACUUGACUCAGUUUAAGAAAUAGAAUAUUACCAAUUCUGUCUAAUGCCUCAGGGUGCCCCUUCCUGACCACAUCCCCUCCUUCCUCCACAAAGUAAACACUCUCUCUCGCUCUCUUUAACUAUAGCUUUACUAUCUACAAACCAAAACCAAACCAAACCAAACCCAGUGCCAUUGAGUCAAUUCUGACUCAUAGUGACCCUAUAGGACAUAGAAGAACUGCCCCAUAGAGUUUCCAAGGAGCGCCUGGCAGAUUCGAACUGCCAACCCAUUGGUUAACAGCUGUAGCACUUAACCAGUACACCACCAGGGUUUGCUUACCAUCUACGGGCAUCCCUAAACAACAGUCUUCAGUUUUGAAUGUUUUUUGAAUUUCACUUAAAUGCUGUCAUACUGUAUGUGCUCUCUGACUUUUUUUUUUAAACUCAGCAUUCAGUUUGUGAGAAUCAUCAGUACUGUAGGGGUAGCUCUAGUUUAUGUAUUUUCACUAACGUAUAGUAUUCCAUUGUAUGAGUAUAUCAUAAUUCUCCUCUCAGUGGACAUUUGAGUUGUUUCUUAUUGGUUAACAUGAACAACCACGCCUUAAACAUUUUCGUCCAGGACACCUGGUGCUCCUGUGCAGGAAUUUCUGUAGAGUAUGUUUAUAUACAUAUAUUCGUAUGUAGCAUUAUCUCGUGAAGCUCCAGAUGUGUAUGGCAUACGCCCCAUUCGGAAUCGCUGCUCACACGGUGUGCGUACAUCUAGACCUUCACUAGGCAACGCUAGGUGGUUUUCCACGUCCGCUGCUACUUUUCAUGCCCUUUGUGUUUCAGCAUUCACUUGACUGCCUUACAGUUUCUUUUUUUCUCUGUCCUUCCUUUAGGGUAAUCAGGAGCCACAUUAGUUUAUUUGCCUUGGCCGGAGCCCUGACACCAAACUCAAGUGGGAGUUUAGUACGUGAUGGUGCUUCUCUCUCUGUUCUAAGCAGGCCUCUUUCUGUACAGGCCCAUCUACAGCUGAAAUGUUCUAAUCCGUCUCUUUCAAACAUAGAAUCACUGUGUCCUUCCUACAUGGGUCCCGUGUUAGUACCACCUGCCAGCCUGUGCUUCCUUAACGUCUAUCACUAUGUUUGCCUGGUGAUAUUUGGACAGCUGCCUUCUCUAGCUUGUUAGAUUGAAAAGGCAUCAGCUGACUGGCAAGAAGCUGCUGUGCAACAGAGGGGGGAUAAAUAAAAUCAGUAAUUGCUGCUGAUUUUUCGUUUGCCCUGAGAUCUCUUGGUCGCUGAAAAGUUCAUGUAAUAAAUUAUUAGCCUAAGAAACAGCUAGGCAUCCGGAUCCAAGGGAUAAUUAUUACGCUAGCACGGUGUGAGGGAAUUAGACUGGCUUGUUGUGUUCACGUGCAGGGGGCAUGCAGUUAUGUCAUGUUUACUGACCAACCCUUGAGAUUGUCAGCUGUCCUGCUCUGACUUUGUUUUCCAGCCGUCACCCUUGUGCCUUCCAGCUCCUUGUGGAACACUUGUGCUCCUUGGAGCGUGCUGCUCUAUCUGCAGGAUGGAAAAUAACACCCUGUGGGGGAGCAAACGCCUUGCCGUUGGCCUUUCCAGUUAUUAAAGUCACCAGGUUAAUGAGGUCUACCAAGUGUACUUGUUCAUGGUGUUUAGAAUGUACUGGCAACAUGCAGCACUCUGUAUAUAGCGUAGGAUUAAAGUACUUGGCUCAUGUAACUCAAGUGAGACACAGACAUACGAGAUAUGUGCACUUAUGAAGUGUAAACAUGACUGUGGAUCUAAGGUUAGGUCAGUAUAAGAGUAUUGUGGGGUUCAGUCUUGUGAAAAUGUGAUCCUCUACCUCAUAGCAGGGAACAGUGGGUUGAAAAGUUGAGUGUUAGGAAGGCCAGGCUUCUUUUCCUGAUCCCAGGAAUAUAACUAGCUUUUGAAAAAAAAAAAAACUUCUUUUUAAAAUUAGAUAUUGAAAAUAAAGAUGAGUAUUAUAGUUCUUCCUCAGGUAUGCACUCUGGUCUGAUAACAUCUACUAAAUUUCCUCAGCUCUAUAGUUUUUUUGUUAAUUGUUGUAAAAAUAUAGGUAACACAACAUUUGACAGUUCAGCGGUUUUACUUUUUUUUUUUAAACUCUUUAUGGAUGAAUAGCAUACAUACACUUGGGUUUAAAAUAAUUAAAUUGUUCUAUUCGUUGUCAUUUUUACCAGCAUUUUUUAAAUAGAAAGAUUAAUACAUGUCCACAAUUAGAAACUCAGGUAAUACAGACAGAUGGAAAGUAUACAGGAAACCCCGCCCCAGUCCCACUCCUGUUCUGACUCCCCAGAGGUAAUCACUGUGAAGCGCAGUUGGCUUUUAAGAUUCCCUUACAAGAAGGUGGCUUUAUGCUGGUGAAGAAUGAGCUUCUUGGAUGAAGUAGACACUUGAGACUAUGUUGGCAUCUCCUAUCUGAAGGGGAGAUGAGAGGGCAGAGAAGGUCAGAAGCUGGUGGAGUGGAUAUGGAAAGAGAGAGCGGAGGGAAGGAGUAGGCUCUCUCAUUAGGGGGAGAGCAAUUAGGAGUAUAUAGCAAGGUGUAUAUAAAUUGUUGUAUGAGAGAGUGACUUGAUUUGUAAACUUUCACUUAAAGCACGAUAAAGAUUAAAAAAAAUUAUAUAUAAAAAAGAAAGAAGGUGGCUUAAUUUUAGUUCCUUUAUGAAAUUCACGGCCUUAAAAGUUGGUAUUAUUUUCCCUUCUGUCCACGAACCCAACCUCCAUCCAAGUAGUACUUCCUCUGGCAUAGUCUGCUAUGUUGUGGGUGGACAGUGGUGUGGUGCUCUAGUGGGGACCAGGUGGCAUGUUGCGUGAUGUUAAAGGAUGGGUUUUAGAAAAAUUUCAUGUCGGUCCCUUCUGUUCAGUCUUUGUGUGGUGAAGUUUUCCCUGACACCCUUCUCUUUUUGAAUUGCUGUUGUAGGUAGGGGAGGCUGAAAAAUCAUUAAAUUUCACAAGUAUACAGAAUUUCCUCAGUGGCAUCAAACUGAUUUUUAGGAGACGAAAUGUGCUCUGUGGUGUCAUUCACAAACUGUAUCACACUUGUCUUUCAGUAGCAUACUCGCAUAUCCUUAUCGGUAGGUGUACUUAGGGAAGGAGUUCAGUUAUCGGUCACAUUUCUCCUUAGACCACAUUAAAAAAAAAAAAAAAGUGGAUACUGAGGUUAAGCCUUAUUGGACAAAAGUGUUGGAGCCAAAGGGGGUGACCAUAGCAAAGUUGGCAUGACUGGCCUGCAGUAAUGAAGGCGUUUGGGGUCAGUUGCUCCUCUAACACAAAGCACAAGGCAAGCCAGGGUGUAUUACUCUGUGUUCUUGUUGUGUCCUAGGGCAAACUCUGCCACACCUCAGUUUUUUCAUUCAGUGGUUGGGAACACUUCUAAUUACCAUCCGUUCUGAGAUGUGGGUGAAGUAAAUACAAAGCAGAACCUAUAGAUCCACAGGAGAAACUAUUUUUUAGAUAAUAGAUAUGAAGUAAAUGUAAUUGACUAACUAUGAGAGACCUGGUGAAAUUUUUGUUAUUUCCUGGGCAUUAAAAGUCUUAGAAGUGUGUUUGUACCUUAGAAGAUGUGGAUUUCACAUUGGGAGUGUUGUAAUAGAAUAUCCCCUCUAUCAGGGUAAUAUUAUCCAUCAUCCCUGUGGAAGCUCAGAUUCCUCAGCUCAGAAGGAGAAUGACUUUCACAGUCUGUUUUACGUGUAUUGAUUUACAGAUCUUUUGGGCACAUUGGUGGUUAUGUGAUUCUUUUUUUAAGCUAAUUUUCCAUUUUCUUAGCUAAGUCACUGUUAUCGUUAGUGCUUGCUUCAGUGUACGUGAGGGAGGUGCAGGUCGGCAAAUGUGUGGGCUGGGUCUUUUCACCUCCUCCCCUCAGGAGACUUGUCCUGCUUUGGCCUGGACUUGAAAGUGUUGGUGUAGACCAGGGCAGGCUCAGUGGGUUACCCUGGAUUUGGAGUUUGCUCGGCUUGUACCUGUGCUUGGGAAAUACUUUGGGAAUCUGAGGUAGCUGUGGGAAUGAUUUGCAAGUGUCGGUCUUUUUCCAGAAGGCUCUUGAAAAAUUCAGAGUUUGAAGUUGGUCUUAGAACUUCUUUCAGACGCUCGUUGGGCUGAAAUUGAGCAAGGUGGUUCUAGGUUGGCAAGCGCUGACAGGAUCCUCCCUUCCCUAGGCCUAGAGUGAAGAAAAACCAGCAUAGCUUCUGACAGUUUUAGAGAACCAGGACGUGUGCCUAGGCACAAACCCUAGAGUGUUUCCCUUGACGUUCACAGGACAGUUGUCUGAUGAGAAAACUGAUGGCCGCUGUUCCCUUUUGCCUCCUUAAAAACUAAAGGAUGUCUUUAGUCACAGCUUAGGGAUCACCACUUAGGCAGACCUGCACCCACCUCUCUUCCUAGGGUAGGGUAGGAGAGCAGGCACGUAAAGGAUGAUACAGCGUUACUUCGCUUAUAUAAUUCUAGAAAACAGUUGCUUAAAAUAUUUCAUUUAGCAUUUGCUUAUGUCUCAUGAGCUUUUUUAUCCUUUAAAGCCGUGCUGUCCAGUACAGUAGCCACUAACCACGUGUGGCUAUUUCAAUGAAAAUAAAGUAAUAUUUAAAAAUUCAGCUCCUCAGUUGCACCAGCCACAUUUCAAGUCACACUAGCCACACAUGGCUAGUGGCUAGUGGCUUCCUUAUUGGACACGGCAGCUGUAGAACAAUUCCAGGACUGCAGAACCUUCUACUGAACAUUAUUUUAGAGAGAAAGUUGCCCAGGUAUGACAUUUCUAGUAUUACUAUUUACAGAUGGAUAGAUAGCAUAAAUAACUGCUGUGAGUUGAUCAUGACUCAUGGUGACCUUAUGUGCAACUGAAUGAAAACGUUGCCCGGUCUUUUGUCAUCCUCAUGAUCGCCAGCAUGCUUGAGUCCGUCAUUGUGGCUAUCAUGCCAACCCUUCUCACCAUGGGGCUCCCUCACCCCUGCUGGCCCUCUGCUUCACCAAACAUGAUGUCCUCCUCCAGCGAUUGAUCUUUGCGAUGACCUGCCCAAAGCAAGCGAGACAAUGUUCUGCUGUGAUCAGUAAGGUUUUCUUUGAUUGGCUAAUUUUUGGAAGUAGAUUGCCAGGCCUUUCUUCCUGGUCUACCUUAGUCUGGAAGCUGUGCUAAAACCAGCCUAAACCAUGGGUGACCCUGCAGGCAUUUGAAAUAUUGAUGGCGUAAGUUCCAGCAUCACAGCAACACUCAAGCCACCACAGUAUGUCACUGUGACGGGGCAGACCUAAAACGUUUCCAGCACUGCACAAAGUUCUAUGAACAGCACUGUUUUAGAGAGAAAAUGGCUAAAGCAUGGCGUUGCUCAUAUUCAUAUUUAUGGUUUCCUCCUUAUUCUCUUUGUUAAAUUGAAUAAUUCUGUCCUUUUCCAGAUUAUUUAAAAAUGCCCCCUUUCUUUGCUGUUUCAAGGACUCGUUAGUUUUCUUUUUUUUUUUUUUUAGUUCUUUCACUUUAAACGAUACCUGUGAGCCUACUUCUUCUGCAGGAAAUUUGCUUCCUGGUUCCUCCUUACCAUCUGUUCCCCAGAGUUUUAGGUCUUAGUAUCUGUUGGGAGAAAUGUCUAGAGACAUUUAUACCAAGAUGGCUUUUAGAUGGUGGGAUUAUGGGUGAUUUUAGUUUUUAUCUUUUUUUGUGAUCCCUAAAUUUUCUCCAACAAACAUAUAUUACAGAAAAGACCAAUAAAUGUUGUUUUAAAAAUGCAUAUUGACUCCAUGAAUUUACUAAAAAUUAUUGAAUGGUACCUUUUAAAGGGGUAAAUUUUAGGAAUUUUUUAUCUCAAUAAAGCUGUAAAAAAAAAAAGUACGUAAUGAAUUGACAUGGAAUGAAUGGGGAAAUGGGGGAGUGAAGUUUGACUGCACUCAUCACCCACCUUUUCUUGGUUCUAGAGUUGCUUGUUCAUUUUUAUUGAUAGCAAAAAUGGUGACCAGCCAGUGUCCUAAACCACUUUCCUUGUGGUGGGUGGGUUGUAAGGCAUAGGCAAUGAGGUGCUGUUGAUGAUGGCAGAUUUACUCAACUGUUUCGUGUUUGUGCAAGCGCUUUUAGGCUCUAAAGUUUUUGAGAUACACUGAAGAUCAGAAUAUUUACGUUUAGUUCUAGUUUCACUGGUUUUUCUGACCUUGAAUACUGUGCUUCUGGUUUUUUCUUUGGGAGCAGUCAUCCUUGUCAGCUCCCAGAUGAACCUGGGUUUUGUUCGUCCGUCCAGCACUUCCAGUACUUUUAGGUCGGCACAUAGACACCAGGUAAUGCUGUGGAUUAUUUGGAAAAUUUUGUUUUAGUGCCAUGAUUGUGUCACUUAGAAAUUACGCUGUGGAUAACGUACUCUGUGUGUUUUUAGUGAGUGCUGUUUUAGAACCUGAUUCCUGACACAAUACCUGUUUGUGAGACUGCACAGCUCCUUCAAAUGACAUUCAACCCCUUAAACCCUUAUUGUGAGCAGGAUUUCCCCCAGGUGACACUUUAGGUGUAAUUGAUGUGUUAAUUGGCCCUGAGGAAAUUCAGACUGGUUAUUGUGCUUAGAUACAGGAAGGUGUUUUUCUCUUUUCAGUUGUUCUCCAAUACAUCUUAUGUCUUGGAACUUCCUUUUGCUCCUCUUUCCAGACAGAUUCUUUGUAGCAGUUCCCUUAUAGCCCAGGACACAUCAAAGGCUUAGGACAGAAGCCGUCAUUUACUCGAUCAUUCCUCACUAACCUUUUCCUGUCUCUUGUUUAAAAAUGCCACAUGGCUUCAAGGUUCAGGGAGUAGCUGUUUCCUCCUGUUGCUGUUUUAUGGUACCUCCCAAACAUAUUUCAUGUAUAGUCUGUAAUUCUACCGGUCCUCUGCCACCCCAGGCUCUUCCCGGAAGGCAACCACUAGUAUCACUUCCGAGUGAUAUUUUCAGAAUGAAAACUAGAUCACCUCACUCCCCUCUUCUAAAUUUUCCCAGUUCAUUCAUUCAGUAACUGCAGGUUGACCAACUGGUAUGUGCCAUGAACAAAACCCUUGAUCUCAUGAAGUGUAUGUCCUAGUGGGAGGAGAUAAGAGACGCCAUCAAAUAGCUGUACAUCCUAUUUAGAAUAAAACUCCCCUUAAUGGCUUGGGAGAUACUGACUGAUCUGGCCCCUUCCUGUGUCUUCCACCUCAUCUUCUUGCAUGCUCCCCGUUGCCCCCUUGGCUCUAGGCAAGCUGGGCUUCAGACUCUUUCAGCUUACCCCUGCCUUAGGGCUUUUGUACUUGCUGUUCCCUCUGCCUGGAUGCUCUGAUCAUGGUGUGGCUGGCUCCUGGGUGGCAGUCAGGUCUCAGCUGACCUGCCCUGUUGGAAGCUGGCCUCAUUCGCCCAAUUCAUUUCAUAACUUCUCUCUCACAUUCCUGAGUUUAUUGUCUUUACAGCUACAUAUCACCCUCUGAAAUAAUCCUGUUCAUGUAUUCUAUUACUUUAUAGGUACUCAACAGAUAAAUCUGCCAAAUUAAUGAAUCUGAUUUUCCCACAGUACCUGUUUACUUGUAAUGUUUCUUGAAUGAAUAUUUAUUAUACACAAUUCAGUCAACAAGUAUUUGUUGAGCAUUUCUCUCUGCCAAGCACUGAUCUAGGAGAAGCAGCAGUGAACAGGCUGACAAAGUCUGUCCUCUGCUAGAGUGUACAUUCUGGUGAAGGGAGAUAGGUGAUAAAUAAUUAGAUCUAUAAAGAACAGUCAGGUAGUGAGUAGCUCCAUGAUGAAAAAAUAAAGCAGGGUGGAGAAUAAAGUGGUUUAGGGGAAGGGCUGUUUUAGAUAGGUAGUCAGAGAAGGCCUCUGGUGAGGUGGUAUUUGAGGCGAUGCUUGAAUGACAUAAACUGGACUAAUUGAGCAUUUACUGUGAGCACCAUAACCAUCAGAGGCAAGUAUCAAGAUCCCUUUUCCCAGAAGGGCAAAUUGAGGCCUAGUGAAGUGAAGGCAUUUUUGCAAGUUUCCACAUGUUAGAGGUGAAUGAAACUGGGAUUUGAACUCAUGAUUGUCUGACGUCAGAGCUUUUCUCUGUUUAAACUUGACCCCCAAGCCCUAUCUGGUUCUUAGAAUAAUAUUGAAUGCCUUGAACUUUGUUGUGGAGGAAUUAGAGACUGCAGGUCUAUUACCAGAUUACAGACAGUGAGAGGCCCCCUUGUAGUAGCAGAGUGGCUCCUAGUGUGGAUCUGGAGCCUGUCAGCCUGGGUCUGAAUCCUGACUGUACUCCUUCCCAUUUAAGUGACCUCAGGCAAGUUAUUUAACCUCUCUAUGCUUCAAUUUUCCAAUCUAUAAAAUGGGUGUAAUAAUCCCUACCUCAUAGGGUUUUAUGAGGGUUAAGUGAGAUUCAUACGUGUUAAGUGCUUAUGUGGCACACAGAAAGCACUCAGUAAGUACUACCUGUUACUAGUAUUAUUGCUGUCUUCCUUGCAAAUCCAGCUUCUCUGUCUCUGUCCCCCCUCCCCCCAAAAAAACACAACUAUUUGCUUUCUGGAGUCAGGGCAACUUUGUUUAUAUUGUGAUUUCCUCAAGGGGGAUCAUCGCAAGGUCUUGGAUUCACUUUAGGCACAGAUCCUGCCAAACCCCAAGCUUAAUAGACUAGAAAGUCAAAGGAAAAUAUUUGGUUCUCUGAGGUAGUGGCCGGGUCGGAAUCCUGUUUCUACAUCCUGCCAGUUUAUAUGAACGGAAGAGAUGGUGACGGCCCCGCCUGCAAACCACAGCUUCUUUCUGAGCCAACUUGACUUGACAGCUUCCCUAUUCUACCUGCUGACUUCUUUAGCUCUGUUUUGGCAGCCAGAAGAGCAGCUAAACCGGUUUACAGCUAGCCAUUUAUCUCUAAUAAAAGCUGAGGAACUCCUAGGAAAAUGAGGAUUUAAAUGGAGUUGAUAUUUUUCUCUUGUCUCCUUAAGUUGUACUUAUUAUGUCUCAAACUAUAGAAAAAAUAUAUUCUAAUUUUACUGGAGAAUGCUGAUCGUACAUUUAUGGCCUAUCCUGAAACAUUUGGAUCUUUGUAUCAUUCUUCCCUUUAAUAAACACCAAGACUUUAAUUUUCCAUUUUGAUUAGAAAUCUGCAAAUAUAUUUACAUGUUUCUGGUUCAUCCUUAAGAAUAUAUAAAAUAUAGAUUAAGCUUUUCUUGACUUUGACUUGUCAUGAUGAAAGGGACCCUCACAGUAAACAUUGGCGUUUAUGAAGGGUAAAGACUGAUACAGAGUUCGCGCGUAACUAUUUUUAAAUUCCCGUGUUUGUGUUUUUAGUCUUGUUUUUGUUUCCCCUUAUUGGUAUCAAUAUGCCUUCUUUUGCUUUGUUCCUUCUAAUAUACCACGGCUGAAGAACCAGAGAAUCAAAUAUAUUAAGAAUAAAUGGGCGCUGAAUAUGAGGUUAAGAGUAAUGGGCAGUAUAAUCUGAACAUGAGAUUUAAAAGAGGGGAAAACAUUUUUGCCUACUUCCUGGUCCAGGUUGUGCUUCAAAGGGUAGGUGAUUUAGGGUAGGUGUUAGUCUUAACGUCAUAGGGAGUCAAGAAUCCUAUCAAAGAUACAUUUAAAGGUACAAGUCCAUAAAGCUUUAUAUUUAUUGUCUGGUUAAAUUAAUUUUGAUUACCUCUGGGCCAGUGACUUUUUUUCCUGGUAUUUUAAAGUGAAGAUAACUUUGUCUUACUUUAUUGAUUUGUUAUGAAGAACAACAAAGUGGUUGUAAAAUGUUUGAGUGUUUAUAUUUUUAGAAAUCACUAACAUCUUUGGGCAACAUCAGUGCAACUAUGAAUAUGACGGAAUAACAUUUAUACUGUGGUGGACCUAAUUUACGUUUGUCCUAAUUUACAUGGUCUUCACAAGUAGGUUUUUGUUUGGUACUUUUAGCUUAUAUCUGAUGGAAUGCUGCCAUACAAUCCACCUUUAAGUCUAUUGUUUAAAACAGUUGUCUCCUCAAAAUUAAAAUACGUGAAAAGUUGUCUGCAGCAUUCUGUCCUCUCUGCCAUGCACCAUUUUUGCCGUGGAGGAAAAUGAAUAAGCAACUCUGGAAACCACGAUCCCCUGGGAACAUAAAAACUCUUGUGGCUAUUAAUGGAUUUAAUUGUAUUUCCUCUCUGCCACCAAAAUGUGCAAUAAAUUGUUUAUGCUCUUGCCUUUAAUGGGGAGACUUGUUCAUUAAAUGUGCGUAAUAUCAUUAUCGCUUUGUUUUUGUUGCUUGUAGAUAAUCUCCAUUUUUUUUUUUUUAACAUAAAAAGGAAUAGCUGUACUUUUAUCACACAUUGCCCAUUAAUCCUUUUGGUUGACUUUUCUCUCCAUGGGGAAAAAGGAAAGUAUCAUCUCCUUGGAGAAGCAAACCUGGGUUGGAAAUGGGACAUAGUUUCCUAAAUCUUGAUUUCAUACUAUUCUCUAAAAAGAUUUGGCAUAAGGUUGGUUGGGUAUGCUUUGGGGUUGGGUCAAGUGAUAUAUUUACUUAGGCUCCAGAAGGGCCUGGUUCUCAGCCAGCCUUACUGACGAAUGAAUGCUUUGGUGUGAUGAGGCCUCAUCUUCUGUGAAUUCAUUUAGAGAACAUGUUAUAGGAGAACGACUGUUUAGCAUGAUGGCACUGUUUGGUUUGGGUUUUGUUUGAUGCUCAUUCCUCAAGUAUUUCUUCCUGUUGUAUAUCUAGAGGAAAAAGCAAAUUGCUAUAAUCUCUUGAAAGCCAUAUGACAGAAAUGUUGGUUUCUUAUUUGGCUUUACUUCACCAUGUGGAUCUGAAUAAGUCUCUGUAACUCUUCCUCUUCCUAGGAGCCAUGCAGUUACUCAUUUAGUUAACAGAAAUUCAUCAAGCAACCUACGUCAGGCUCUGUUUUAGACACCAAGGGAAGGGCAGUGAACAAAACAGACAAAAAUCCCAGCUCUCGUGGAGGUCGGCAAUAAACAAAUGAGGAAACAAGUGGUGUGAUACAUCCAAUGAAGCAAGUAAAGUAGGAAAGAGGGUCAGUGGGGUGGAGGGAGGGAAUGUUGUAAUUUUAAACAAGGUGGUCUUGAAAGGCAGAGAAGGUGAGCAAGCCACGUGGAAUACACACUUAGGCAAGCCACGUGAAUUUGGGUGGAACAGUCCUCCAGGUAGAGGGAACAGCAAGUACAGGAAGGCUUCAGGGACAGCCAGGAGGCCAGUGUGACUGGAGCCAAGUGAAGGCGGGGGAGAGUAAUGGGAGAUAAAAUCAGAGGUAAGGGUGCCAGAUCCUGUGGGCCUUUGUAGUACUCUGUCUUUGACCUUGAGUGAGAUGGAAAGCCACUGGGGGGGUUUUGAGCAGAGCAGAGACAGGAUAAUGACUUCCAUCAAAAACAAAAACUACAAACAGUGACAGUUAGUUGAGUGUAGCUGUGAAGAAGUGUGGAUGUUGGAAGCAGGGAGUCCGGGUAGGAGGUUGUUGUGGUGAUCUAGGGGGGAGAUGGUGUUGCCUUUGGGCCAAGGUGGCGAGGCGGAGGAGAUGGGAAGUACUCAGAGUCUGGGUGUGUUUUUCAGUUUUAAAGGAUUUGGUUAUUGAUGGGAUUUGGGGUAUGACAGAGCAAAAGGGUUCAAGGAUGACUCAAAGAUUUCAUUAGCUUCUUUGCAUCAGUUUCCUUUUUUAAAAUAAAAAAUUCAGUAUGAUUGUCAUGGCUUUGUCCUAGUGAUACUAGAGGAGAAUGACAUCCGGAUAACAGCGCGUCAGGUUCUUGAAGGAGUUGUUCAUUUUUGCCGUUUGUAAUUAAUUCGAGAAAAAUUCCCUUCAGAAUUUACUGGGUGGUGGAAUUAUCCAUAGGUUGGCAACUGAUUGUGUUCAAGGUCUGAGUAGGUUCUUUUUAUGCUUGAGGCCGUGGUGAAGCUACUGGCGCAGCCGAGUCUCGGUAUCCCGAGUAGUUCUGCUGUGCCGGAUCCUCUGUCUGGUAUCUCCUCUGUGAUCCUUACUCGGGGCGUGGUUUUCAGCACAGGAGAUCUAGUGCAGAAGCCAUCAACAACUGCAGCACAUAUCUUUUGUCACUAACCCAGUGAAAUUAAAAAGUCCAAAACUUCUGUUUUUCUAAAUGACUGGUUUGCUACAGCAGAUGGCUGUCUGUGCUUCCUAGGAGCUGCCCUGUAAGGAGGAAUCUUGCUGCAGAAUGAUCUAAUUUGUGUAAUCUUGAAGGUGGAGCUAUUUUUGAAAGAGAACAGAAAAAUAAUGGAGCCCCUUGCUAGUGAAUGCCACACCGAAUUUUACCGAUUUCAGAGGACAAAGACCCAGUUAGAUCCUGUAGUUUGAACUCCUGUUUUUCUCCUGUUCUGCUCACCAUGGCUAGAUCAAGUUCAUAAUAGGUAUAUUUAGGUAAUUGCUCUUGAAAAUGGGUGCUGAAUUUUUCUUGUAUUUGUGUUUUUAGAUAAAUGUAUUACUUGUAGUUUGGAUAAUGUAAACAGCGUAAAACAGAAAGUUCUCGAGUUCAGCAAUUAGAGUUCUCUGAACAGUUAUUUUGAGAGGGUGAUGUUUUGUUUAUGACUAGCUCUCAAUCCUGUCAGACCUUGUCGCCCCUUUACUAUCCUGAAAUGAAUUCUCAGAUAAUAAAGCUUGCCUACAUGUCUACAGUAUCUUAACCCCAAUAUAAAGGAAAAAUAAAAGGAAAGUCAUUUGUAAGAAAAUAUGUAUUUCUUAUGUAAAUUUUCAGGAGACAUGUAACUGCUCAGAUCACAUUAGAAUCCGUAGCUGGCAGGUGCUUGCAGCUCCACGUAGCUUUAUCUCUGUGAAUAUGACACCUAUAAAUAGAGACUGGUGCAGAUGGAUUGCAUUGGCGACUCAUGAUGUGUGGCAGUGCCUUUGGUGAUAUGAUUAUCUGAAACGGUAAAUAAAUCUUUAUCAAGCUCUGUACAAAACAAAGCACAGUCUUUCCUCUAUUUACACAGUAGUUACUUUCCUGGAAAAUUCAGUGUAAUGGUGAAAAAAUACUUUGCAUUUCUAUGUAAAGUUUAUUUAGGUCUGUACUUGGAUAAUUAUAAACAGCUUUUUAUUUACAUAUGUACCCUACGGGACCAAAGGCGGAUUUAUUAUGAAGCUUAGGAAGUUUCAGCUUCAGGCCCUUCAGUUGCACAGGCUCCUUUUGUGACUCUGACUUUUUUCAUAAACAGUAAGACUUUUCAUUGAAGUGCAGUAUAUGGCUGAGUCCCUGGUCGUGCAAAUGGUUAGUGCACCUGACUGCUGACCGAAAGGUUGGAGGUUUGAGCUCACCCAGAGUAGCUUCGGAUAAAGGACUGGUAAUCUACUUCUGAAAAAUCAGCUCCUGAAAACCCUGUGGAGCACAGUUCUGUGACACACAUCGGGUUGCCGUGAGUUGACUCAAUGCAACUGGUCGCUGGUUAACGUACACUAAGUACGCGUAUAAUAAGUACCAAAAAAAACAAAACCCACUGCCAUCAAGUCGAUUCUGACUCAUAGCUCACAGCCACCCUGUAGGACAGAGUAGAACUGCCCCGUAGAGUUUCCGAGGAACGCCUGGUAGAUUUGAACUACUGACCUUUAUGGUCCGCAGCUGUAGCACUUAACCGCUAGGCCGCCAGGGUUUCUAGCUUGAUUCAUUUUUGCAGACUGAACAUAACCAGCACCCACAUCAAGAAAAAGAACAUUACCUAUAGCCCAGAACAUCAGCAUGCUCCCUUCUAAUCAUGGUCGCCACCCCCCACGGUUACCUAUAUCCUAAACUUCUAACAAUAGGAGUUACUUUUGCCGGCUUUUGUACUUCAUACGUUGUGUACUCUUGUAUCUAAUGCCCUUUGCUGAACAUGAAGUUUGUGUGAUGCAUCCACACUGUUGCAUGUAAUCAUAGUUUUUAUAUUCUUAUUGCUGUAUAGUAGCCUAUUGUCUGAAUGUAUCACAGUUUGUUUAUCCAUUCUGCUGAUGAUGGCCAUGUGGGAAAUUUCUGGUUUAGGGCUAUUAUGAAUAGUGCCAUUGUGAACAUCCUCGUAUAUGUCUGUUGGUGGACAUAAGUACUCACUUCUCUUGAGUAUAUGACCAGGACUGGAAUUGCUGGGUCAUGGGGUAUACUUAGCUCAAUUUAGAGAUAUAUGAGAGUUGUAGUUGCUCCAUAUCCUCACCAAUAGUUGAUCAUCUUUGCAUUUUUUAUUUUAGUCGUUCUGAUUGGGGAUAAAAUGGUUUCUCCUUGUGGUUUUUAUUUGCAUCUCCCUGAUGAUGUUGAGUACCUUUUCAUAUGUUUAUUGGCCAUUUGGAUGCUUUUUUUUUUUUUCCACUAAUAUUUUAUUGAAUUUUUGAUGAAAGUUUACACAGCAAGUUAGGUUCGCAUUUGAUGAUUUCCACAGAAAUUGUUCAGUGUCAUUAGUUACAUUUAUCACAAUGUGUCAACAUUUUCUUUAAUGGUGUGUUGUUUGUUACAUUUCCGGUACUCUAGUUCCCCUGCCUGGACACCCUCUUUUAUUAAUUGUCUGUUCAAGUCAUUUGUCCAUUUUUUAUUAGGCUGUGUAUCUGUUUCUUAUUGACUUGUAGUUCUUUUUAUUGCAGUGUCUUCUCAUACCCUGUGGGUUGCCACUUUGCUCUUAAUGGUGUCUUUUAAUGGACAGAAAUUCUUAAUCUUAUUAUAGUCUAAUUUAUCAAUUUCCUUCCUUUACAUUUAAUGGUUUUGCGUCCAAUUAAAAAAUAUUUGCCUACUUCAAGUUCACGAAGAUGUUCUCUAAUGGUUUCUUUCAGAAGCUUUAUUGCUUUGACUUUCACCUGGACUUGAUAUUUGUGUGUGAGAUGUGGGUGUGUGGUGUGAGAUAGGGGUGAAGAUACAUUUUCUCCAUACAGAUGUCAAAUUAGCCCUGCACCAUUUACUUAACACAUCAUACUUUUUCCACUGUACUGCACUGUCACCUUAGUUAUAAAUCAUGUGACAUUUUAUGUGUGGGUCUAUUUUUACAUUUAAUGUUUUAUACCAUUCAUCAGUUUGUCCGUCCAAAUGUUCUACUGUCUCAGUUACUAUAAACCCACUGCCGUCGAGUCGGUUCCGACUCAUAGCGACCCUAUAGGAGAGAAUAGAACUGCCCCAUAGAGUUUCCAAGAAGCGCCUGGUGGAUUUGAACUGCCGACCUCUUGGUUAGCAGCCGUAGCACUUAACCACUACGUCACCAGGGUUUCCUCAGUUACUAUAGCUUUAUAAUAAUAAAUCUCUUACCUGGUGGUACAAGUCUUCCAGCUUUGUGAUUCUUCAUGAUUGUCAUGGCUGUUCUUUGUCUUUUGUAUUUAUUUAGAAGUUUUAGAGUCAACUUUUUAAUUUCCUUUAAAAAUUGUUUUGGGAUUUUUAUUAGGAUUGCCUUGAAUCUAUGGAUUAAUUUGGAGAAAAUUGAAAUCUUUAAAAUACCCGGUCUUUUAAUGUCCUUCCAUUUGUUUAGGUCUUCUUUAACUCUUCUGUACUUUUUAGUAUAAAAGUGUUGUUCAUCUUUCUUUAGAUUUAUUCCAGGGAAUUUGCUACUUUUUGAUCCUAGACCUGAUUUUAUAUGCAUUUUCUUGUAGAGAGGACCCUCUAACUUGUAUACAAAGUCUGGAUCUGCCCCUGGUGCAGUUUUCACUUAUGUGAAUGUUGGAAAUCAUGUGGGAAGCCAGUCAUUUCUUAAUUGUGCAGGCCUUGAAGGUUCCCAUACUGUGGGUUUUAGGAUGCCUGGAAUUCUUGGUUUUUCCACCACUGAAACUCCGUGAAGUCCCCAGUCAUUGUGACAAUCCAGAGUCUUCCCUAGAGGCAUUACUACCACCAUCACUUUUUUGUUUUGUUUUGUUUUAGGUGAAAGUUUUCAGCUCAAGUUAAUUUCUCAUACAAAAAUUUAUGCACAUGUAGUUUUGUGGCAUUAGCUAUAAUCUCCACAAUGGGACAGCACGCGCCCCCUUUCUACCCUGGGUUCCCUGUAUCCAUUUGACCAGUUCCCGUCCCUUCCUGCCCUCUCAUUCUGCUUUUGGACAGGAGCUGCCCAUUUGGCCUUGUAUAUCUGAUUGAACUAAGAAGCAUAUUCAUCAUGUGUAUUAUUUUUUGUUUUUUAGUCCUGCCUAGUCUGGGUUUUUUUUUAGUCUUUGUCUGAAGAGUGGGCUUUGGGAAUGGUUUCAGUUCUGGGUUAGCAGUACAUCCAGGGGCUGUAGUUUCGGGGGUUCCUCCAUCUCUGUCAGACCUUUAAGUCUGGUCUUUUUAUGUGAAUUUGAGUUCUGUUCUACAUUUUUCUCCUGGUCUGUCCGAACUCUCUGUUGUAUUCCUUGGCAGGGCGGUUAUUGGUGGUAGCUAGGCACCGUCUAGUUCUUCUGGUCUCAGGCUGAUGGGAUCUCUGGUUCAUGUGGUCCUUUAGUCCUUUGGGCUAAUAUUUUCCUUGUGUCUUUGGUUUACUUCAUUCUCCUUUGCUCCAGGGACCAAUUGAUGUAUCUUAGAUGGCUGAUUGCAAGCUUUUAAGAUCCCAGAUGCCACUCACUAAAGUGGGAUGUAGAACAUUUUCUUAAUAAAUUUUUUUAUGCCAGUUGACCUAGAUAUCCCCUGAAACUAUGGUCCCCAGGCCCUAGCCCCAGCUACUCUGUCCCUCAGAGUGUUUGGAUGUGUCCAGGAAGGUUCUUAGCUUUUGCGUUGGUUCAGUUCACUUUUUUUUGUUGUUGUUGUUGAGACUACACACAGCAAAACAUACACCAAUUCAACGGUUUCUACAUGCUCAAUUUGGUGACAUUGAUUACAUUCUUAGAGUUGUGCAACUGUUCUCACCUUCCUUUUAUGAGUUGUUCCUCCCUCAUUAACAUAAACUCACUGCCCCCUAAGGGUCCUAUGUAAUCUUUCAAGUUGCUAUUCUCAGUUUGAUCCCAUAUAGGCAGUUCUUAAAAGAGCUUAACGUUCAAGGCAGACUGUUUUUACUAGUUAAGCUAAACUGUUGUUUGGUUUUAAGGUGACUCCAGGGUAUAUUUUUGGUUUAAGGUUUAAUGAUUAUCUCAGGCCAAUAGUUGCAGGCGUUCAUCCACCCUCCAUGGCUCCAGAAAGUCUAGAGUCCAUGAGAAUUUGAAAUUCUCUUCUGCCUUUUCCACCUUUUGAUCAGGAUUGUUCUAUGGAAUCUUUGAUCAAAAUGUUCAGUAAUGGAAGCUGGUCUUGUGGCAAAGGAGACAGUUGUUCAUGGAGGCCAUUAGUGCAAAUGAAUAAUCUUCGCAGACUUUACACAGGGCAGACAGGUAGAGUAGGCUUAGAAUGAAGUCUUUCGUUUAACAGUUAAAAGCUCUGUGAUUUGGGGUCAGUGCCUUUGAGCCUCAGUCUUCUGGUCAAAAUGGGAAGAAAUAAAAACAUAACUGUGUAGCUGACUACUGGGGUUGCUGGGAGGAGCAGCUGAAACAAUCUAUCUAUAAAUGCUUUGUAAAUCUCAGAGUACUAUAGAAAUGCCUUUGGUGUUGAUUCAUGAUUUUGCUAACUGUUCUUUUUUGGCAGGAUUGUAGACAUAAUUACCAAGAUGAAGCCUCCUAAAUGGUCCUGGUCUGCUUGAUUUGGGUUCUUCAAGCAUAGUUGCUGUAGCCAUAACCUAUUCACGGAAAGUGGCAGCUGUUUUUAAAUGCUUAUGUGUUUCUAGGAAGGCAACAAGAGCACUAGUCUGUUCGGAUUCCAAUGUCUCAAUUCUGUUUUUCUAAAGGAAAGUAGACCAACCACUCACUUUCUGUUUUCCUCAAUGUCUUACUGCUUAGAAACACUUUGACGAUUAAGAUGAAAUUUCUAGGUAAGUUUUAUCUUAGAUGGCUGCUCAGAGCUUUUAAGACCCCAGGCACUACUCACUGAAAUAGGGGACAGAAUAGGAACUCUAAAAACAGUGUUAGGCCACUUGGCUGGACAGUCUCAGGAAGCCAUGACCCUAAGCUUUCAAACUAAAAAAACUAAUCCUGUGAGGUGUUUGGUCAUACCUAAGUAGUUUCAGCAACUGCAUCUUUUGUUGUUGUUGUUGUUGCUAUAAAAUUAUAUACAGCAAAACCUGUGAAAACCAGAACCUGUGUAAGGUGGAAACCUGUCAGAGAAGGAAAACUCAAAUAUUUUCCACUAAAGCGAGCAACAGAAAAGUGGUAAGACUGCAUCCUGUCAGAGGCGGAAAACUUCUGAGACUCUGAAAAACAAGCCUGUCUGGUUAAGUUCCACCUGUCACAGGUUUCACUGUAUAACACAUUUGCCAUUUUACCCUUUUUCUAGUGUAUGACUAAAAAAUUUUUUUUUAAUUUAUUGUGCUUUAAGUGAAAGUUUGCAAAUCAUGUCAGUUUCUUACACAAAAACUUAUAUACACCUUGCUAUGUACUCCUAGGAAACCCUGGUGGCGUUGUGGUUAAGUGCUACAGCUGCUAACCAAAGGGUCGGCGGUUCGAAUCUGCCAGGUGCUCCUUGGAAACUCUAUGGGGCAGUUCUACUCUGUCCUUUCGGGUCGCUAUGAGUCAGAAUCGACUCAGUGGCACUGGGUUUGGUUUUUUUGGUUUAUGUACUCCUAGCUGUUUUCCCCCUAACGAGACAGCACACUCCUCCUCUCCACCCUGUAUUCCCUGUGACCAUUCAGCCAGCUCCUAUCCCCCUCUGCCCUCUCAUCUCACCUCCAGACAGGAGUUGCCCACAUAGUCUUAUGUGUCUACUUGAGCCAAAAAGCUCACUCCUCACCAGUAUAAUUUUCUGUCUUAUCGUCCAGUCCAAUUCCUGUCUGAAGAGUUGGCUUCAGCAAUGGUUCCAGUCUUGGGCUAAUGAAGGGUCUGGGGACCAUGACCUCUGGGGUCCCUCUAGCCUGAGUCAGACCAUUAAGUCUGGUCUUUUUAUGAGAAUUUGAGGUCUGUAUCCCACUGUUCUCCUGCUCCAUCAGGGAUUCUCUCUUGUGUUCCCUUUCACGGCAGACAUCGGUUUUAGCCAGGCAUCACCUAGGUCUUCUGGUCUCAGGCUGAUAUAGUCUCUGGUUUAUGUGGCCCUUUCUGUCUCUUGGGCUCAUCUUUACCUUAUGUCUUUGGUGUUCUUCAUUCUCCAUUGCUCCAGGUGGAUUGAGACCAAUUGAUGGGUCUUAGAUGGCCAUUUGCUAACAUUUAAGACCAUAGACACCACUCACCAAAGUCGAAGCAGAAUGUUUUCUUAAAACGUUUUGUUUUGCCAGUUGACCUAGAUGUCCCCUGAAACCACGGUCCCCAAACUCCUGUCCCUGCCACUCUGGCCUUUAAAGUGUUCAGUGGUAUUCAGGAAACGUCUUUGCUUUUGGCUUAGUCCAGUUGUGCUGAGCUCUCCUGUUUUGUGUACAACUAAAAUUUUUGAACCUUGAACCGAAACUAUCCUUUGACGUCGUCUUCAUACUGAACAGUUUAGCUGAAUUAGUAAAGAAUGUUGGCCUUAAGUAUUGCACUCUUUUAAAGAAGCAACUAUAUCAGAUCAAAUUGACAAUAGUAACUCUAAAGCAUAGAUCAAAAGUUUAUGGGUCAAUGAAUCUGAGUCAAUGGGGGUGAAAUAGUAUGGGGAGAGAGUGAGAAUGGUGAUACAUGUAACCAAUGUCAUUGAAAUGUUGUUGUUGUUAGGUGCCGUCGAGUCGGUUCCGACUCAUAGUGACCCUAUGCACAACAGAACGAAACACUGCCCAGUCCUGCGCCAUCCUUACAGUUGUUGUUAUGCUUGAGCUCAUUGUUGGAGCCACUGUGUCAGCCCACCUUGUUGAGGGUCUUCCGCUUUUCCGCUGACCCUGUACUCUGCCAAGCAUGAUGUCCUCCUCCAGAGACUGAUCCCUCCUGACAACAUGUCCAAAGUAUGUAAGACGCAGUCUCGCCAUCCUUGCUUCUAAGGAGCAUUCUGGUUGUACUUCUUCCACGACAGAUUUGUUUGUUCUUUUGGCAGUCCAUGGUAUAUUCAAUAUUCUUCGCCAACACCACAGUUCAAAGGCGUCAAGUCUUCUUUGGUCUUCCUUAUUCAUUGUCCAGCUUUCACAUGCAUGUGAUGUGAUUGAAAAUACCAUGGCUUGGGUCAGGCGCACUUUAGUCUUCAGGGUGACGUCUUUGCUCUUCAACACUUUGAAGAGGUCCUUUGCAGCAGAUUUACCCAGUGCAGUGUGUCUUUUGAUUUCUUGACUGCCGCUUCCAUGGCUGUUGAUUGUGGAUCCAAGUAAAAUGAAAUCCUUGACAACUUCAGUCUUUUCUCCAUUUAUCGUGACGUUGCUCAUUGGUCCAAUUGUGAGGAUUUUUGUUUUCUUUAUGUUGAGGUGUAAUCCAUACUGAAGGCUGUGGUCUUUGAUCUUCAUUAGUAAGUGCUUCAAGUCCUCUUCACUGUCAGCAAGCAAGGUUGUGUCAUCUGCAUAACCCACGUUGUUAAUGAGUCUUCCUCCAAUCCUAAUGCCCUGUUCUUCUUCAUAUAGUCCAGCUGCUUGUAUUAUCUGUUCAGCAUACAGAUUAAAUAGGUAUGGUGAAAGAAUACAACCCUGACGCACACCUUUCCUGACUUUAAACCAAUCAAUAUCCCCUUGUUCUGUCCGAACAACUGCCUCUUGAUCUAUGUACAGGUUCCUCAUGAGCACAAUUAAGUGUUCUGGAAUUCCCAUUCUUUGCGGUGUUAUCCAUAGUUUGUUAUGAUCCACACAGUCGAAUGCCUUUACGUAAUCAAUAAAACAUAGGUAAACAUCCUUCUGGUAUUCUCUGCUUUCAGCCAGGAUCCAUCUGACAUCAGCAAUGAUAUCCGUGGAUCUAUGUCCUCUUCUGAAGCUGGCCUGAAUUUCUGGCAGCUCCUUGUCGAUAUAUUGCUGCAGCCGUUUUUGAAUGAUCUUCAGCAAAAUUUUGCUUAUGUGUGAUAUUAAUGAUAUUGUUCUAUAAUUUCCACAUUCAGUUGGAUCACCUUGCUUGGGAAUAGGCAUAAAUAUGGAUCUCUUCAGUCAGUUGGCCAGGAAGCUGUCUUCCAUAUUUCUUGGCGUAGACGAGUGAGCACUUCCAGCGCUGCAUCUGUUUGUUGAAACAUCUCAAUUGAUAUUCCAUCAAUUCCUGGAGCCUUGUUUUUUGCCAAUGCCUUCAGAGCAUCUUGGACUUCUUCCUUCAGUACCGGUGGUUCUUGAUCAUAUGCCACCUCUUGAAAUGGUUGAAUAUCGACUAAUUCUUUUUGGUAUAAUGACUCUGUGUAUUCCUUCCAUCUUCUUUUGAUGCUUCUUGUGUUGUUUAAUAUUUUCCCCAUGGAAUCCUUCACUAUUGCAACUCGAGGCUUGAAUUUUUUCUUCAGUUCUUUCAGCUCGAGAAGCGCUGAGCGUGUUCUUCCCUUUUGGUUUUCCAUCUCCAGCUCUUUGCACAUGUCAUUAUAGUACUUUACUUUGUCUUCUCGAGAGGCCCUUUGAAAUCUUCUGUUCAGUUCUUUUACUUCAUCAGUUCUUCCUUUUGCUUUAGGUGCUCGACACUCAAGAGCAAGUUUCAGAGUCACUGACAUCCAUCUUGGUCUUUUCUGUCUUUUCAGUGACCUCUUGCUUUCUUCAUGGAUGAUGUCCUUGAUGUCGUUCCACAGCUUGUCUGGUCUUUGGUCACUAGUGUUCAAUGCAUCAAAUCUAUUCUUCAGAUGGUCUCUAAAUUCAGGUGGGAUAUACUCAAGGUAGUAUUUUGGCUCUCGUGGACGUGGUCUGAUUUUCUUCAGUUUCAGCUUGAAUUUGCGUAUGAGCAAUUGAUGGUCUAUUCCACGGUCGGCCCUUGGCCUUGUUCUGACUGAUGAUAUCGAGCUUUUCCAUUGUGUCUUUCCACAGAUGUAGUCAAUUUGAUUUCUGUGUGUUCCAUCUGGCGAGGUCCAUGUGUAUAGUCGCCGUUUAUGUUGGUGAAAGAAGGUAUUUGCAAUGAAGAAGUCGUUGGUCUUCCAAAAUUCUAUCAUUCGUUCUUCGGCAUUGUUUCUAUCACCAAGGCCAUAUUUUCCGACUACUGAUCCUUCUUCUUUGUUUCCAACUUUCGUAUUCCAAUCACCAGUAAUUAUCAAUGCAUCUUGAUUGCAUGUUUGAUCAAUUUCAGAGUGCAGCAGCUGAGAAAAAUCUUCUAUUUCUUCAUCUUUGGCCCUAGUGGUUGGUGCGUAAAUUUGAAUAAUAGUCGUAUUAACUGGUCUUCCUUGUAGGCGUAUGGAUAUUAUCCUAUCACUGACAGCGUUGUACUUCAGGAUAGAUCUUGAAACGUUCUUUUUGACGAUGAAUGCAACACCGUUCCUCUUCGAGUUGUCAUUCCCAGCAUAGUAGACUAUAUGAUUGUCUGAUUCAAAAUGGCCCAUACCAGUCCAUUUCAGCUCACUAAUGCGUUGGAUAUCUAUGUUUAUGCAUUCUGUUUAAUUUUUGAUGAUUUCCAAUAUUCCUAGAUUCAUACUUCGUACAUUCCAGGUUCCAAUUAUUAAUGGACGUUUGCAGCUGUUUCUUCUCUUUCUGAGUCGUGCCACAUCAGCAGAUGAAGGUCCCUAAAGCCUUACUCCAUCCAUGUCAUUAAGGUGGACUCUACUUUGAGGAGGCAGCUCUUCCCCAGUCAUCUUCUGAGUGCCUUCCAACCUGGGGGGCUCAUCUUCCAGCACUAUAUCAGACAAUGUUCCGCUGCUAUUCAUGAGGUUUUCACUGGCUAAUGCUUUUCAGGAGUAGACUGCAGAGUCCAUCUUCCUAGUCUGUCUUAGCCUGGAAGCUCAGCUGAAAUCUGUCCUCCAUGGGUGACCCUGCUGGUGUCUGAAUACCCGUGGCAUAGCUCCCAGCAUCACAGCAACACACAAGCCCCCACAGUACGACAGACUGACAGACACGUGGGGGCAUUGAACAUGUAGAAAUUGUUGAAUGAUCUACUGUGUAUAUUUUUACCAAAAAUAAAACAAUUUGUACAGAUACUCCUCACUUAUUGACUAUCUUGUUAACCAGCAUUCCGCAUUUAUGAUAAUAGUAAAAAAUCUACUACUUCGUGCAUUAACGACAUAGUUCUGGCAGUAACCAAUGUCGAGGUGUGAGGCCAGAGUAACGCUGGCUAUGAUGGUUAAGAUUAUAUGUCACCUUGGCUGGGCCGUGAUUCUCAGUUUGGCAGUUACGUAAUAAUGUAAUUUGGCAGUUAUGUAAUGAUGUAGCUGUCCUCCAUUUUGUGAUCUGAUGUGGUUAUCCUCCUUUUUUACAUAAUGCCAAUUUUUGCAUAACGACCUGAUCUUUGGAACCAAACUAUGUCGAUAAAUGAGGACUGGGUGUAUCGAAAACAAACGAAAAAAUAUUAAGCAAGUUUUACGUUCAUCAGUGAAAGGUUCCAUGUGAUACAGGUGAUAAAGCGAAAAAACCAAACCUGUUGCUGUCAAGUUGAUGCCAACUCACAGCAACCCUACAGGACAGAACAGAACUGCCCCAUAGGGUUUCCAAGGCUGUAAUCUUUAUGGAAGCAGACUGCCACAUCUUCCUUCUGCAGCGCACUGGUGGAGUCAAACCCCCAACCUUUGGUUAGCAGCCAAGCACUUAACCACUGUGCCACCAGGGUCUCGUCUAACAUAGUUGAUACGUUAUUAUAAAUGAACUCUUAUUCAUAUUAAUUCAUUCUAAUUCUGGCCUUCCAGCCAAUGAAUUGAGAAAUACUUGGCGUGUUAUUGAAUAAAAAGGUGAUGAGGCCUUGCAGUGUAAGUUGAGAGGGAGGAGAGAUACUGUCUUUGCAAAUUUUCUAUGGAAUAUACUUAAUACUAAUGUUGUUAUGUGCCGCCGAGUCGAUUCCAACUCAUAGCGACCCUAUAGGACAGAGUAGAACUGCCCUAUAGGGUUUCCAAGAAGCGGCUGGUGGAUUCGAACUGCCGACCUUUUGGUUAGAAGCUGAGCUCUUAACCAUUGUGCCACCAGGCCACCAGUACUAAUAGGAUAUUUAAUUUGAAUAUGACAUGCCCACCCUGUGAACCUGUCUCUAAUUAGUGUUACCUCUAGAAUGCAGCCUCCUAUAUACAGGCAGAUACUCUUUUUAGCUGCAUUUUAGUUUCAUGUGAUGUUUCAGCGUUUAUUAUUUUCUUCCCCGUUUUUAUAUUUUGAAAGUCCACUUCCCCCUAUAGUUUUUUUUUUUCUUCUUUUUAUUCUUAAUUAGAGUUACACAUAUAUUUUAGAAGACGCUCAAGUAGUUCUACAGGCUUGUUUGGAAAACAGUCCUUAGAUAUUGUCUGUUGAAUUCCAACUGUGGACGGUGGUUUGGCUUUUUUAUCAUUACCCCACUCUCCCAGUAAAAUUAUCACUUUGGUUAGAUGAUUAUUCUGGGUUUUCAUUAUUAUGAGCAUAGAAAGGCAAGUCAUUGUUGAGCCACGCAGUAUGACUUCUUUUCCUGGCCAACUUUUUAUUUUUCCUAAAGAUAAUAAUUUUCUUUUUAGUUUUGUUUAAUAAUAAUCAUGAAUCGGAACUGACUCGAUGGCACCUAACAACAACAUCAUUAACUGAAAGUGUCCUGAUGCACAAUGGUUAAGUGCUCGGCUGCUAACUGAAAGGUCAGUGGCGUGAACCCACCAGCCUGGUGAUCUGCUGCCAUAAGAUUACAGCCUAGAAAGCCUUAUGGGGCAGGCAGUUCUACUCCAUCGUAUUGGGUCACCAUGAGUCGAAAUCGACUCCGCAGCCCAGAAAAACAACAGCAUUAACUGGGUGUUUAAUGUAUACCAGGUGCUGUUCUAGUUGCUGUAUACGUGUUAACUCAUUUAAUUAUUACAUAGGUACAGAAGGACAGAGAGGUUGGGUAACUUGCCCAAGAAAGCGGCACAGCCAGGAUUCAAACCCUGGCAGAAUUCAAACCUUAGUCAAGCCUCAGAUGAGACCACAGCGCCAACCGAUCGCUGCUGCCCUGCAGAGAACCCAGCUGAGCCAUACCCAGGCUUCUAGCAGAAACUGUGAGAUUAUAAAGGUGUGUUGGUUUAAGCUGCGAAGUUUGUGAGGAAUACUGUCAGGCAACAAUAGAUAGUACACUACCAGUACGUGGAAGUUGCUAUUGUUCCACAUCUCCACCAACAUUUGGUGCUGUCCGUCUUUUUAGAUUUAAUCAUAUUAGUGAGUAUGAUACGGUAUCUCCUUGUGGUUUUAAUUUGUAUUUGCCUAAUGACUAAUGGCAUGAAUACCCACUGAUUGGCCAUUUGGAUAUCUUCUUUUGUGAAGUAUCUGUUCAAGUCUUUUGCCUAUUUUUUAAUUGGUCCGUUUGUCUUUUUAUAAUUUAUUUGCAGCAGUUCUUUAUAUAUAGCAGAUCAAGUCCUUUAUCAGAUACAGUAAAGCCUGCCAAAGGCAGAACCCGUGUAAGGUGGAAACCUGACAGAGAAGGACAACUCAAAUAUUUUCCACUAAAACCACCCCAAACCCAUUGCCAUCGAGUCAAUUCCGACUCAUAGCAACUCUGUAGGACAGAGUAGAAUUGCCCCAUAGGGUUUCCAAGAAGCGACUUGUGGGUUCAAACUGCUGACCUUUGGGUUAGCAGCCGAGCUCUUAACCACUGCUCCACCAGGGCUCCUUCCACUAAAAGGAGAGAUAGAAAAGUGGUAAGACUGCACCCUGUCAAAGGUGGAAAACUUGUGAGACCUGGAAAAACAAGGCAGUCUUGUCAAGUUCUGGCUCUCUCAGGUUUCACUGUAUAGGUAUAAAAUAUAUAUAUGUAUACGUAUAUGUAUGUAUAUAUAUGUGUACAUAUGUAUGUACCUAUAUAGCAUGUGUACGUGUGUGUACCUAUAUCUGAUAUACAGUAUUUUUUCCAAUUUCUGGCUAGGUGAAACGCCCACAUUUCCCUCAGUCAGAUUCCCAAACUGUUAACAUUUUUUUACAUUUACGCUAUUAUACUGUCUCCCUCUGAAUUAAUUUUUGUAAACCAUUUGAUAGCAAGCAACAGACAUGGUGCCCUAUCUCCCCUGAAUAGUUCAGUGCGCAUUUCCCCCAAUAAAGGCACUUUUAAAUAUCCACUAUAUAGUCUUCUAAGUCACAUAGCAUUGAUAAAACACUACUGUCUGGUCCAUCAGCUCCUGCUCACAUUUUCCCAGCUGCCCCAACAAUGUCUCUUUUUGUUUUGGUCCAGAAUCCUAUCCAGGAAUGGGCAUUGUGCUUAGUUGUCAGGUUUCUUCAUGUCCUCCAGUCUGGAGUAAUCCCAGAGUGUUGUCCUGUCGUUCAUAUCCCCAACAGUUGUAUAGUCAGGAGCAUGAUCUGCAAGCUGGAUCCGCUAAUAUUUCCUCAUGACUAGACUCAGGUCGUGAGUUCUUGGCAAGAAUAUCACAGAAAUGAUACUGUAAUAUUCUCAGUCCAUCACGUCAAGAGGUAUAUAAUGUUAACCGGUGCUUUUACUGAUGGUGUUAACCUUGAUCACCUGGUCAUGUUGCUGUCUGCCAGGUAGUUCUGUCUUUCACCACUGUAAAGUCAUUGAUGAGUAUUCUUUGUGGAGACAAUUGAAGUUAUGCCAAUAUCUUAUUUCUCAUUAAGCUUCGAGUUCGCAGUGUUAGUGUCCUUUGAUGACUCCUGCCUCAAUCAGACAACUCUUGGUGGUUGCCAAACGAUGACUUUCUGUUUCCAUUAUUCCUUCCAAACUUAUAAAUUGACCUUCUACUGUAAGGAUGAGGUUUCCCUUCUCCUUUCUCUUCUUUCCUUCCUUCCUCCCUUCCAGUAUGGACUCAAGGAUUCAUAUUUUAUAUAUUGGGUUGUAAUUUGUUUGUUUCAGUAUUUAUUUUGAUGCUCAGCUUGCCCCAGAUUUGGCCAGUGGGAGCCCUUUCACGGUGGCUCCUGUGUCACUCUCACAUGCCCCCGUCAUCCUUUGAACACUUCCUAACUUUUUAGAUAAUAAGAUGUUCCAAGAUGCCUUCACCCUGGAAUCAGCCAUUUCUCUAAGGAGCCCUGGUCCUUUAUAGAGGAGGAUGGUUUUUAGAAACCAAGAUCUGGGAGUUUGUUGUGCUCAUCACUACGGGGUUUCAUUGCUUCUAGGUGCUUUCAGCAGACAGAGCCAGGAAAUAGGUGUAUAUGACACACGCACGUACGCUGUUUCUGUAUCGAUUUCUGCAUGUAUCUUCAAUUCCUGUGUAACACCUGAGGGUUGUCUCCAGCCUUACCCCUUUCUGUGUUUGUAAGUACCUUCUUCAAGAGUGAGAAAUCUGAUUUUCGUUAUCCUUAAAAUAUUUUUUGCUCAAUUAAUUUACUCACUUGUGCGUUGUAACCGAUUUCCAAACUGCCCUGGCCUCCUCUUCCUCUGCCACAUCUGGUGCGUGUGCGUGCACACACACACACACACACACAUACACGUCGGCACCUGUGUCUUUGAGCACAAGCUGGUAGAAGCAGGAAACAGAUGAUGGUAAACUUCGUUACAGUGACUUCGGAGAUAACAAAGGUGGAAAGUGAGAUGCAACCCAAUUUACUCUGCAAAAUCUUAUAUCGCGUUUUUCCCUGUUAUCUAUUUCUGUAUUUAAAAACAAAAAACUCAGUUGCUUAAAACAAGGACAGUAUUAUUUUGUACAUAAAUCUGCAAAUCGGGCGGAGCUUGGCAGGGAAAAGCCCUCUCUGCUAUUCUCAGCAUCAGUUGGGCUGGCUCAAAGGCUGGGGGCUGGGAUCAUCUGUAGGUUCGCUCGUCAUGUGUCUGGUGGUUGAUGUGAUGCCAGCUGUUGGCUGGAACCUCAGCGAGGGCUGCAGCUGGAACACCUGCAGGCAGCCUUAUCGUGUGGCUGCUUGGCGUCCCACGGCAUGGUGGCUGGGUUCCAAGGGCAGGCAGCACAAGAAUGAGCACGCCAGGUGGAAGCUGCUCCCCUUUUCUCACCCCGCCUCCGAGAUCACACAGUGUUAUUUCCACUGCAUUCUGUUUGUUGGAAGCGAGUCACUAAGGCCGGCCCUGUCCAAGGGGAAAGGAAUUCCUCUCCACCUUUUCAUGAGCAGAGUGGCAGAGAGUGUGCAGAUGGGUUUUACAACCACCACAGUGCUUUAAAAUAUUUUAUUUUCUGAAUGAAUGGAGCAGUCUUUCAUUCAUACAGUUGAAUUUGUUAUUAGUACUUUUAACUCAUUUUGUUUAAAAACUUAAAAAAUAUGUAAUCAUAUAUAUAUAAAAAUUUUUUUUUCUAUGCACACCCACAUAAAAGGGAUCAUAUCAUGUAUAUGUAUAUUUUUUAGUGAUCUGUUUUUUUUUUCUCUUUUGCCUGGCUCAUUCCCCCUUUCUCUUCACUUUCUCUUUCUCCGUCACCUCCAGGUCAGGUAGCUCAUGUAUGUAUCCUUCUGUAUUUUUCUCCAUCCUCGUAUAAUAUAGAAAAACGUAUACAUAUACAUACAUUGGAUCGGGAAUAUUGUUUAAAAAAUGAAAUCUCACUAAAACUAGCUUUUGCAUCUUGCUUUUCUCACUGAACACCUUGUAGAAAUCCCUCUAAGCCAAGAGGCUUUGUUCUAAUUUGUUCCUUUUAAUGGCUGCACAUAUUCUGUUAUCCAGUUUGGUUCCUUAGUCAUGACGGGACAGGAGACUACUCUCAGGGAAUAAGAACGGAGAGGGAUGGUCUUUAAAGAAAGGGAACUAGGGAAUGAGGGAGAGAGGUGCACUAGAUGGUUGCUGAUACGCUUUUGAUGGAGACAGGGAAGUUGGAAAAAUAGUGGUGGGGAGGAGGUGAAUUGGUUGGAAAUGAAUGUUUUUCCAUACAUUAAAAUUACCUACUGGAGAAUGAAAUAACGACAAAUAUUGUAUGAUCAUACUUACCUGAAGUAUCUAGAAUAGGCAAAUGUAGAGAGACAGAAGUUUGUGAAUGGUUACCAGGAGUAGAAGGGAUGGGAAAGGGGAGUCAUAGUUUAGGGGGCAUUGCAUUUCUGUGAGGCUGUUGGCAAAAUUCGGAAAAGGAUAGCAGUGAUAGUUACACAACAUGCUGGUUGUAAUUAAUGUCACUGGAUUGUAUAUGUGAAAAGUGUUGGAAUGGUUAAUGUUUUGCUAUAUAUAUACUUAUCACACACACGCAAAUUACCUACCAGGCAGUUGAAGACAUGGGGCCAGAGCUCAGGUACAAGUACAGGCCUGGUGCUGAUUGACAAAGCUGUGAGGUAAAGGAUUGUUUGAGGGAGAGGGAGGCUUGGUCAGCAUUGUGUGCUGUUAGCCGGAGACUUAGAAAAUGACUGAGAUUUCAUACCAGACCAGGAUCCUGUGUGUUUACACCUGACACAUUAAGUACUGGUCUUUAAGAAAGCUGUCCAUUUUUCAGAAACAGAACUUUAUUUUCAUUUCAUAUAAUGUGGGCUGGGAGAGUCUUUUCCUAAAUAUAGCAGUGUGAGUUUGCUAGUCUUCCUGAGGCACUUAAGACAUCUAAAAAUUCUAAAUCAGAAUCCGAUUAAAAAAACCAGACCCAAUUCCGACUCAUAGCAACCCUUUCAGACAGAUAGAGCUGGUAGAAUAGGGUUUCCAAGGCUGUAAUCUUUAUGGAAGCAGACUGCCACAUCUUUCUCCCACGGAGCAGUGGGGUGGGUUUGAACUACCAACCUUUCGGUUAGCAGUUGAGCUACCAGGACUCCUUACUAACUGUACCUCCAGGGCGCCUGCUAUCUGAUUAGAACUUUCUUAAUCUCUUCCCUUAAAUCAAACCAAUUUAGGCCAUCUGUGCUAAUUAACAUCACUGAAUGGCCAAACAAGGAUUUUUUUCUCUUUUUAGGUUAGAGAGAAGAUCUCUAGUACAGCUAAGUUAUGGAUGCUAAAUGGAUAGGACAGAUACAUGACUGACAGAAACUCUUGAGCUAGGCCAGUCCUGGUGGCCACUCUGAUUUCUUCAGGUUUAUUAUUAUUAUUUAAAAAUGCUGGUGGCCUUAAAAUCAGUAGUGAAGAAUAAUAAUGUCAUCACCUUUUUAGGAACAAAAGUCUUGCCCUCCCCAGCCCCUGAUAUGUUCCAAGAAAGUUGAGGCAGUGGUUGUUUUCCUUUUAGGUUGGAUUACUGAAGCUCAGAGUUAGAGGUGGGCUCUGUGUGAAUGGUACAGUUGAAAUGAUAAAAAUCCUUAAGAUUUACUUUUGCUCAAGGAAGGAAAAAGGAUAGUGCUAAUUCUGAGCCUCUGUUAUUGUUUUUCCUCUGGUCUCUUGGUUUAGGCCAUUUUUCAUAUAACUUCAGCAGACAAUAUCAGAUGUCAAUUAUAUGUAAAGUGUGCUGGGAAAACUACAAAGAUGAGUCUGAUAUAGGUCUGUCCUUAAGGAGCUUACUGUCUUGGAAUAAAGAGCUAACUGUAAUACUAAGCAGAUUGAACUAAGUAAUAAAGGUUCAUGCUGAGGAAGUACAAGAGAAAAGGGCGUUAAUUCCUCUGUAGAAUGUGGCAUUUUUUGUUUUGUUCUUAACUGGAUUUUUUGUAUUCGACUUUUUAUUGUGUGGAAAGGUUUAAAAAUAUGUAAAAAUAGAGAAAAUGUGUGAUGAGUCUCUAGUACCCAGUACCCAGCUUCUUUAUCAGCUCAAGGUUAGUCUUGCUUCAUCUAUAUCCCCACCUACUUACCUCAUCCACCCCCAGAAUACUUUGAAGCAAAUCCCAGACAUCAUAGCAUUUAAUCUAUAACAAUUUCAGUAUGCAUCUCGAAAACAUAUGUAACGAAAAUACCAUUAUUCCUCCUGAAAUAAUUAACAAUAAAUCGUUAAUAUCAUCUAAUUUUCUAGUCAGUUGAGCUGCACUGUACAGAGAGAUUUUAAUAGGUGAUGAAUGGGAGAAAAGGAAUUCAGGUUGAGGAAACAGCGUAUACAAAAGCAGGGAGAUGUGUAUAAAUGAAAGAUAAUAAAAGUCUGCUUUAGGGCUGUGGCAGUGAGAGUGGAAAGAAAAUUACAAAUACAAGUCUUUGCAGAGGUAAACUCAAUGGAAUAUUCCAGUUGAGGAUAGCAUAUGUGUCUUCCCUCUAUUUCUAGUUAACCAUGUUUGAGUGGUUGUUUUGAACCAUCAAGAACUGGGUCAGCAAACUGUGGCUUGCAGGCCAAAUCCUACUCUCUGCCAGUUUUUUUGUAAAUAAAGUCUUAUUGGAACAUAGCCACACCCAUUUGCAUAUGUCACCUAUGGCUUCUUUCACCCUGCAAUGGCAGAGCUGAGUAGUUUUCACAGAGACCAUAUGACCUACAAAACCCAAAGUUUUUACUGUCUGGCCUUUUUCAUAAAAAGUUUGCGAACCCCUUAUCCAGAAGGAACUGGGCCCCAGGUUUAGUGCUCCAUCAGAGGAGUUGUGUUGAAUGCAUUGAUUAGAAACAGCCAUGAUUUUAUGGUACAUAGGAGUCAGAACUUGGUACUAAGAAGUGGUGGAGCUCUAACAGAUACCCAAAAUGUGAAAGUGGUUUUGGAAUUGGGUAAUGGGUAGAGGUGAGCCCUCGUGGUGCAGUGGUGAAGAGCUACGGCUGCUGACCAAAAGGCUGGCAGUUUGAAUCCACCAGGCGCUCCUUGGAAACCCUACGGGGCAGUUCUCGUCUGUCCUAUAGGGUCACUGUGAGUCAGAAUCUACUCAACGGUAACAGGUUAAUAGUAAAAGCUGAGAUUGCCUUGAAGAGAUUGUUGGUAGAAUUAUGCAUGGCAAAGGCAAUUCUCACAAGAAAGUGAGGAGAGCUAUAGAGAAAUGUCUAUCAUCUGAGAGAAUACAUAUGGUACCAGCAACAGAAUGUUGCUAGCAAUGUGGGUGGUAACUGUGCUUCUGGUGAGGCUUUAAAAAAAUGAUGAGCAUGUGAUUGGACAAUGGAGGAAAGGCAGUGCUUUUUAUGCAGUGGCAAAGAACUUGUAUGGAUUAUGUUCAUAAGUUUGAUGGAGGGUGUAACUUGUAAGUGAUGAACUUGGAUAUCUGGCUGUUGAGAUUUCUAAGCAAGCUCUUAAAAGGGGCUGUGUGGUUUCUCCUUGCCUCUUAGAGUAAAAUGCUAGAGGAAAGGAGAUGGGGAGGAGAGAUGCCAAGCCACAUGAAGAUUGCCCAGGAGCAGACGCUCAAAAGAGACAGAGACCUUCCUCCAUAGCCGACAGAGAGAGAAAGUCUUCCUGUAGAUCUGGCGCUCUGAAUUUGGACUUCUAGCCUCCUAAACUGUCAGAAAAUAAAUUUGUUUGUUAAAACCACCCCCUUGUCUUAUUUCUGUUAUAGCAGCACUAGAUACCUAAGACAGAAUUUGGUCCUAUUGAAGUUGUCAAGGAUUUCAUUUUACUUGGAUCCGUAAUCAACACCCACAGUAGCAGCAGUCAAGAAAUCAAACGAGGUAUUGCAUCGGGCAAACCUGCUGCAAAACACCUCUUUCAAGGGUUAAAAAGCAAAGAUGUCACUUUGAGGACUAAGGUGCGCCUGACCCAAGACAUGAUAUUUUCAGUCGCCUCAUAUGCAUGCGAAAGCUGGAAAAUGAAUAAGAAAUACUGAAGAAGAAUUGAUGCCCUUGAUUUAUGGUGUGGGCGAAGAAUAUUGAGUAAACCAUGGACUGCCAGAAGAAUGAACAAAUCUGCCUUGGAAGAAGUAGAGCCAGAAUGCCUCUUAGAAGCGAGGGUGACGAGACUUUGUCUCAUGUACUUUGGACAUGGUAUCAGGAGGGAUUAGUCCCUGGAGAGGGACAUCAUGCUUGUUCAGCAAAAAAGAGAAGAACUUUCAAUGAGAUGGAUUGAUGCAAUGACUGCAGCAGUGGGCUCAAACAUAGCAAGGAUUGUAAGGAUGGUGCAGGACUGGACGAUGUUCUGUUCUAUCGUAUGUAGGGUCUCAGUGAGUUGGAACUGACUUAAUGGCACUUAACAAAACAACAAGGAUGGGAAGCCUUGGAUCUUGCUUUGCUCUGUGUGUAUCAAUCUAUAGCUCAAGAAAGUAAAUUUCUCCAAGAAUCUCUUGGCCUGUUUGCUUCAAUUUUAAUUCCUCCACUCCUCCGCUGCCACAGUGGCUGAUUGGCUGUUCUGUGAAGUGGCUCACUAAACCUCAGAGCCUUGCACUUAAGUGCUCCCUCUGUCUGGGGUGUGCUUUCCUAGAUGCCCACGUGGCCGGCUCAGUGAUUCCUUCCAGACAAUCCUCUUAAUCACUUCAUCCCCACCCCAACCUGCACUUCUUGCGCUCCUUUUCUACUUCCAUCCUUCUUCAGCGCUUAUCACUAUCAACUAUACAUUUCACUUGUUUGUUGUCUCUCUCACUCACUAGAAUGUGAGCUCCAUGAAGUCAGGGCUUUUGGUAUCUUUUGCUCACCAGUGUAUACUGAUGGCCUGAAUCUGUGCCGGAUACUUAGUAGGCACCGGGAAAUCAUUGUUGAAUAACUCAGUCAAUGCCUUAGUCUUUUUGCCCCUCUUCUGCAUUAGACACAUUUGGAGUUUCCUUGGGGUGGCAGUGAUGUUAUUAUGUAAAUCCAUUAUAAUUUCCUCUCAACAAAGCUUAGAAAAUUGUUUCAUCAAUGCAGUGGAGUAUUAAGCAGCAAUUAAAAUGGUAAUUGUGAAGGCUGUGGAAAUGUAGGCAAGUGUUUAGUUAGUUGAGAAAGUGUUUAUAAUGGGUCAAAAUCAUAUGCACACUGCCUCUCUAAAGUAUGCGUGAGUAUAGACAAAGACUGUAAGAUACUGCAAAAGUGAAAUAAUUGUUUUAGGGUAGUGGAUUUUUGGGUGAUUUUUUUGCUCCAAAAAAAAUUUUUUUAAUACUACUGCUUUCUUAUUUUUUUAAUAGUGCUAUAAAGAUAGAUGCAAAUUUCCCCUGCCUCUCUUCACACCUCCUGCCCCACUGCACCAUAUCCAGAAAUACAGCCUUUAGUAGGGGGUCACGGCACAACAAUCAGAAAUCAGAGUUUAUAUUGAAUCUCAGCCUUGGGAAGGCUGAUGGGCAUCAUGGAGAGAUGUUUCACUUUAUCCCGUGACAUAAUGCCACGAUAUACUUCCCAGUAGGAAGUAUGCCUGUAAGCUUCCUUGGUUAAAGAUGGAUUUGGAUUUAUAAAGUUGACGUUUAGACAGAAACUCUUUUCUUUGAGAUGGAACCUGGACAGGCAUGGUUUCCUGGGCGAAAGGUCUUAUGUUUGGAUUUUCUCAAGCAGUGUUUCCGUCCUCCUGUUCUGAGAUGCACAUUCAGGAUAGCUUUUCCACGGUGCCAUAUAAAGUUAGGAUUUUCUCAUGAAUGUAAUCUUUUGGAGUAGUCAUUUGGUUUUCUUCCCAUUUCACUUUCAGUCAGCUUUUAAAAACUGGGUAAGUCUUUUCUCUGUACCUCAGUUUCUCCAUGUGCAAAAUUGUGGCUCUCUACACAUCUCCCAAGGAUAUGGUGAGCUUGUAGUCCUUUUAUUUAAGUAGGUCUUUGUGUUUGUUCUGCCAGACUACAUUUCUAGGACAUACAUAAACCAAAUCCAAACCCGUUGCCAUUGAGUCGAUUCCAGAUCACAGCGACCCUACAGGACAAAGUAGAACUGCUCCAUAGGGUUUCCCUUAUAGUUGGUGUUUAAACCAUUGCCUCUAGGCAUCAAUCCAAGCAUCUUGCCAGAGGUUGGAACUUUGCAGCGCAAAACAAAAUACAGGAAAGUUCCACAGUUUCGGAAGCCUGCUUAUUUGAGGGAAUAUUACCUCCCAAGUUUAGCAAAUGGGAAGAUGAUCAAGUAUCUGGUCUCAUUUAAUUCACUGAAACGUAGAUUCCUUCCAUUUGUCUGUGAGAGUCUGUAGGAAUAUGGCUCUUCCCCUCCACCAUCUGACCACUUACUACUUCCUCUUAGGUUACCCUGUUCCAGUCACGCUGGCCUCUUUGCUCUUUCUUCUAAAUACCAGGCAUGAUCUGCCUUGACCUUUGUCUUCCCUCUGCCUGGAAGCUGCAUGGUUCAUUCCUGUUCCUCCCCUAAGUGUUUGCCCAAGUGUCACCUUCCCAAUAAGAUCUGCCCAGACCCUCCCCCCAUCAUUCCCACCUCUCUUUAUCCAUAGUACUUAUGAGUUUCUCAUACACUAUAUAUCAUUUCCUAGGAGCCCUGGUAGCUCAGUGGUUAAGAGCUGAACUGCUAACCAAAAGGUCGGCAGUUCACAUCCACCAGCCUCUCCUUGGAAACCCUUUAGGGUAGUUUACUGUGUCCUGUAGGGUCGCCAUGAGUCAGAAUCGACUCAAUGGCAUCAGGUAUAUCAUUUCCUUAUAUAUUAUGUUUAUUGUUUGCUGUCUUCUCUCCCCUCUCCUCACUACAGUGGAAGCUCCAUGAGGGCAAGGAGUUUUGCUGGUUUUGUUAUUGUGGUUAAAUUAGAGUGAGGCUCAUAGAAAGUGCUUGGUAAAUGUUUGUUGAAUGAAUGAGGUGGCUGGGACACUGAGUUUCACCUUCCGCUUGGAAUUUUCUUGUUACUACCACACCUCUGUGGGCCCCCGAGAUACUGUCUUACCCUUUUAAUGAGUAAAGACAAAAACAUCUUCUCUUGGUUCUGCCUUGGCAUAACUGAGAUAGGCUGAAGAGUUUAAGAAAAUAUUUUGCAUACUAACGACAAGAGAGAAAUUAAUACAGAAAAUGCAGAACGUAUAAAAAUAGACUCCCUUAUAAAGUAUAUGACUCUUGAAUCUGCCAUAACUAGCUUGCUCUAGUAUCCUACAGGCCCACUAGUCUAUCCACUUAUCUUGAGAAAUCUAAUUCUAGCUUCAGAGGACUAGUACUGACCUUGUCUUGAUGUCCUGUAUGUGUUACCAUCUCAUAAUCUGCUACUAAGUAGCUCCCUCUUUACUUCUUGAUAACUGUGUCACUGAGGCCAAGAGGACACCAUCUUCUAGUUUGUACUUCAUCUCUUUUAUUGGAAUAAAUAACCUUAUGCUUUAGGUGAGCUAUGUCGCACAGGGGUAUGGUGUUCUUUCAUUUUUUUUAAUACACCUUCAUUGAGAACCAACCAUGUGCCUUGAAAGAAGUACAGCCAGAUGUUUCUUAGAAGUGAGGAUGACGAGACUUCGUCUGACGUGCUUUAUACAUAUUAUCAGGAAGGACCAGUCCCUGGACAAGGCCAUCAUGCUUGGUAAAGUGGAGGGUCAGCGAAAAAGAGGAAGACCCUCAACGAGAUGGAUUGAUGCAGUGGCUGCAACAAUGGGCUCAAAAAUAUCAACAAUUGUGAGGAUGGCGCAGGACUGGGCAAUGUUCUAUUCUGCUGUAUGUAGGGUCGCUAUGAGUCAGAACUGACUCCAUGGCACCUAACAAGAACAACACCAACCGUGUGCCAAGCCUCAUGCUAGAGUCAGGGUACGUGUUUUAUCUCGCUGUCAUGAAGCUCACAAUUCAAUACAGGAGACAGAGUCAAACAGUUACAGAGAGGGUGAUGAGUACCACGGGGCUGUGUGUGUGUGUCAGGCAAAGUCUCCUUGGAAGAUCAUGUGUGUUUGUGCAAAUCUGCCAAUAAAUAUAUCCAUAGUUUACAAUACAGUAGCACUUGAAUCAUUUCAUUAUCAUCACCAUCCACACAUCUAAUAACAAGAAGGCGUCUCCUUCAAACUCUUGCCUAAACCUUCUUCCUUGGUCUUUACUUGGCUUUAGUUCUUCAGCUGUGGUAAGGCCAGCCCUUUUCAAUAGCCCUGAGCUCUCAGACUUUCCACUGUGUUGUUUUAACAACCAAUGACUUUUCUCCUCAUACUCUAUUGAAAGUUACCUUUUUUUCUUUCUUUCUUUUUCUCCUAUUUCCUCAAGUUGAGUCUAACCUUUAGUUCUCUUUCCUCAUCUCCUGUCUUUGUGCAAGGCCAGUUUCGGGUGUUAAGUGAAGGCUGUUCCUGUCAAAGCCUACUCUUUGCCAUUAAUAAAUGAUUAGGGAGAUUGUCAGCCAGCGUUAAUACUGUUUAUGAAAUUGCAACUACUAAUGCAGCAUUUUGUGAAAUUCUGACUAUAUAAAUGGUGCAAAUGAUUUGAUAAGUUAUGGCUCCAGAGAAUUCCUUACAUAGUAAGCCAAAGUUUCUUUUUCCUUCUCAGGGUGAUUCACGUAACAUUUAGUUUGUCUUGGUUGCCAUUUACUUUAAACCACUCUGGUUUUCCUGCCUGUGCUUAGACAAGUUUAUGAGAGUAUAAUUGAUUCUCCGAUAGCAUAAGAAGCCUUGGUGGUGUAGGGUUUAAAGGGCUCAGCUGCUAACUGAAAGGUCAGCCCUUCUAACGCACCAGCCACGCCAUGGGAGAAAGAUGUGUCAGUCUGCUUCUGUAAAGAUUUACAGCCUUGGAAAUCCUGUGGGGCAGUUCUACUCUGUCCUACAGUGUUGCUAUGAGUCGGAAUCGACUCAACAGCAGUGGGUUUCGUUUUAGGUUUUCUGAUAGUGUGGAGAUAGGGGGUGUUGUAGAUUGAGUUGUGUCUCCCAAAAAUGUGUGUCUACUUGGCUAGGCCGUGAUUUCAAGUAUUGUGUAAUUGUCCACCACUUUGUCCUCUGAUGUGAUUUUCCUAUGUGUUGUAAAUCCUACCUCUAUGAUAUUAAUGAGGUAGACUUAGAAGCAAUUACGUUAAUGAGGCAGGACUCUGUCUGCGAGAUUAGGUUAUAUCUUGAGUCAAACUCUUUCGUUUUGUAAAAGAGAGAAGCAAGCAGGGAGACGGGGGCCUCAUUUACCACCAAGCAAGAAGAACCAAGAGCGUGCAUCCUUUGGAUCUGGGGUCCCUGAGCUGAAAAGCUCCUAGACCAGAGGAAGACUGAUGAGAAGGAACUUCCCAUAGAGCCAACAGAGAGAAAGCUUUCCCCUGGAGCUGACACCCUGAAUUCUGACUUCUAGCUGCCUACACUGUGAGAGAAUACAUUGCUGUUUGUUAAAGCCAUCCAGUUGUGGUAUUUAUGUUAUAGUAGCACUAGAUGACUAAGACAGGGGGAGUGGCCUUUCCUGCGUUAGUUUCAUUGAUGAUUCAUGGACUUGAAGUAAUCAAAAAGCAUUUAUGACAUGCCUUUUUGCUCUGUGAUACUGUGAUAAACUGCCAAAGCUGUUACCAAAGCCUCCUGAUUUUAAUGACGUGUCUUUACUUAAUAGUACAUUCCAGAGCAAGCUCCAGCCUGAUAGAUAUUGACUGUGAGCCUCUGUGACCUGUUCUUUUCUUUUGGUUCUACACCCACACCUUGGUCUUUGAUGUUUCUUGUCCCUGGGUUCCGAACUUUCCAGACAGGUGCGUUGCUGUUAAUGAUUCUUGGUUUCUUGGUUCUCUUGAUUGAGCCCUGACCCUAACAUUUGUAUCUACGUGUGUUCAUGUCCUUGUUUCCAUCCUCGCUUAGAACAUUUUCUAAUUCUUCUCCAACAGGUAAAUUCUUCAGAAUUUUACUUGCUUUGUUUUGUAAAUAGAUCUGUUACAAAAGCUAUUCUACAAAUAGGAAAUAAGUGUGAUUUCCCCUUUUUUCCUUUCUUUCUCACUUUUAUUGUAACUUCAGAGAUGGAGGAAUUAGAACAGCAUUGUCCAACGGAAAUAUAACGUGAGCCACAUAUGGACAUAUGUACUCUUCAGAAAACAGCUUUAUUGAAAUAUAAUUCAUAUACCACACCAUUCACCCGUUUAAAGUGUACAGCUCCAUGGGUUUUAGUAUAUUCACAUGCUGUCCAACAGAAAUAUAACACGAGCCACAUACGGACAUAGGUAGUUUUUAAAAAAACAGCUUUAUUGAGGUAUAAUUCACAUACCAUGCAGUUCAUCCAUUUGAAGUAUAGUUUCCAGUGGCUUUUAGUAUAUUCAUAGAGAUAAAUGUACUUAAAAUUUUCUAAUAGCUACAUUAAAAAAAAUAAAAAAGAAACAAGAUUAAUUUUAAUAAUAUAUUUAACUCAUUAUAUCCAAAAUAUUUUUUCAAAAUGUAAUCAUUAUAAAAGGGAAUUUUCCAUUGCUUCAGCUUUUAAAUUUAAAUUAAAAAAAAAAAAUGUAGUUCCUUCAUUGUACUAGCCCCAUUUCAAGUUCUCAUAACCACGUGUAACCAGUAGCUGCAUCUUGGACCAUGAGCUUUAGAAGGGCAAUCUUGUUGCAAGAUAAUUAUGCCUCAGAGAAUCAUAAUAUUUACUGGAGAUGCAAACUUUUGGCUGUUUGCUGAUGAGGCUCUUUUGGAACAUGAUUCAGAAUUAUUUGGCCAAACAUAGUUUAGAGACAAGUAUCGUUUCUUUACAUUGUAUAGUGAGAGAGGAAAUAAGGUGCAGAGAGGGUGGAAGAGUUGGCAGAAAAUUCCACUUAGUCUUAUAACUUUCUCAGCCGUGUAUAUCUUCAAUACAUGGAUGCACUUAAUUGAUGUUAAAUACCUCUUUUUUUUUUUUUUUUUCAUGUAAAUACUAAAGUUUUGGCUUUUGGAUGUAGUUUUUCCAAUGAAGUUUUUAGCUCUUGCAAGGAGCAAAUAAAGGUAUAGUAUUCUCUUUUUCCAGCGCCUUAGUCUGCCCUCUAACUUCUCCAUGGUUACCUUUUCCUGCAGUCUCUUUACUACAGACUUAAAAGUCAUUAGACAAUUUAACAGUAUGAGAAGUGAUAGUAACUUCAGUUGCCCAGAGUUGUAGAGCCAGGAAAUUAGUUACUACUAUAAUUUCAAUAUGUGGAGACAACUGGAUUGACUCUAACGUUAAGACACCUCCCAUGAGGCAAAUAGGGUUUAGAAUCUGCAGCCUUCUGGCUCUAUUGUCAAAGGUCUUAGCACAAUUCUGACUCUACCUCUGAGGAUCUGUAAUUAGUCCCAGAUGCAUUUAACUGGUAAGGAUAUUCUUUAGUUAAACAGUGGUACUUUUUUGUUCAAGCAUUCAAAAACUGUUAAAUACGUUUAGGGUAUUUGGCCUACCAAACAUAUGUCAGAACAGCUUCCAUUGGCUUGAGUGGGAAAUUGAUUUGGCCAGGGUCUUGAGAAUCAUUUACUCAAAUGGACCUUGAGAGACUAGUGACCCCCCAUUGCCUGCAGGAUUCAGUUCAAACCACUCUUCUCUUGGCAGCCAGCUCUGUCUCCGGCUAGUUUCCUGUACAGACUUCAAGCUCGCCUGCCUCUGCUGCUGCCAUGCUCAGCAGGGCCCAGGGCAGGGAACAUGGGCUCUAGAGAGGCCAGACUGGGCUUCAGAGGGCACCUGUACCAUUCUUCAGCUGUGUCAUCUUGAUUAAGGCAUCUAACUUCCCUGAGCAGCUUCUGCUUCCUUACCUGUAAAGUGGAGAGAGUAAUGAGGGCCAUGAUGAGGAGUAAAUGAGAUGACCAUAGAAGGCUAACAAGGUCAUCAGCAGUGUGAAGCAAGUGCCUAUGUCAUGAUGCUUUUAAGAACUGACAGAUCUGAAUAGACGUUUCUCCAAAGAAGAUGUACAAACGGUCAAUAAGCACAUGAAAAGAUGCUCAACAUCGUUAGCCAUCAGGGAAAUACAAAUCAAAACCAGACACCACUUUAUACCUGCUCGGAUGGCUGUAAUCAAAAAGGCAGAUGAGAACAAGUGAGCAAGGAUGUGGAGAAAGUGGCACCCUCAUACACUGCUGGUGGGAAUGGAAAGUGGUGCAGCUGCUUUGGAAAACAGUCUGGCACGUCCUCAAAAGUUUACCGUAAGACCCAGCAAUUCACGCCUAGGUAUAUACCUAAGAGAAAUGAAAACAUACGUCCACAUAAAAACUUGUACAUAAAUGUUAUUUAUAUCAGCGUUAUUCACAAUAGAUAAAAAGUGAAAAGAACUCACAUGUCCGUCAGCUGAUGGCUGGUUUAUCUGUACAGUGGAAUAUUAUAUGACAAUAGAAAGGAAUGAAGUACUGAAAUGUUGCAACAUGGAAGAAUCUUGAAAAUGUUAGGUUAGUCUGAACAAGUCAGUGAGAUGCCUGGCCUUGAGGGAGUCAUGAAUAAAGAGAAUAGGCUGAGGAGUUGGAGCAUAUUUAUGGGACAUAAACAACAUAGAUUGUUAACAGAUACGAAAGUUCUAGGAUAGAGUCGGCCCAAGUUUCAGUGAGAACACAAAAAUGGGACAGCUGACCCAAGCGAGAGUGGGUGGAUGGAUGGUGGUUCAAGAAGACUUCCUGGAUCAGUGGCGCCAGAACUGGUAACUGGUAAAUUUCUAUCCCAUAUUUUGAAUUGAAUUGGCAUGUGGAGUAUAUGUGUUGUCUUGUAAACGAAUUCAGUCCUACUGUCAUUUUACCAUGCUAAAGCAAAUGAUACUGGGGAAAAGAGAGUUCUUUUGUCAUAUCAUCUUUCCUCUGUAUUAACCGCUUUCUCCCCUUUCUUACCCAUUCUCAAUAACCGAUUGAAUUACUCAAUGAAUAAUUUUAAUUCUUAGGUUAAUUUUGGUAAGGAGACUUAGAUCAAGAAGUGCUAAUGUUUGCUUAGCAUAAUUUUUAAUGAUGUGGAGGUAACAUAGUUGUGUAGAAAGUACUGGAUUAUCAAUCAGGACACUUUAUUUUUUUUAAAUAAUUUUUAUUUUGCUUUAAGCAAAAGUUUACAAAUCAAGUCAGUCUCUCACAUAUAAAGUUACAUACACUUUACUACAUCCCCCACUUACUCUACCCCUAGUGAGUCAGCCUGCUCCCUCCUUCAGUCUCUCCUUUCCUGACCAUUUUGCCAGUUUCGAACCCCCUCUACCCUCCCAUCUCGCCUCCAGACGGGAGAUGCCAACACAGUCUCAAGUGUCCACCUGAUGCAAGUAGCUCACUCCUCAUCAGCAUCUCUCUCCAACCCAUUGUCCAGUCCAUUCCAUGUCUGAAGAGUUGUCUUCGGGAAUGGUUCCUGUCCUGGGCCAACAGAAGGUUUGGGGACCAUGACCCCCGGGAUUCUUCUAGUCUUAGUCAGACCAUUAAGUCUGCUCUUUUUAUGAGAAUUCGGAUUCUGCAUCCCACUGCUCUCCUGCUCCCUCAGGGGUUCUCUGUUGUGCUCCCUGUCAGGGCAGUCAUCGGUUGUGGCCGGGCACCAUCUAGUUCUUCUGGUCUCAGGAUGAUGUAGUCUGUAGUUCAUGUGGCCCUUUCUGUCUCUUGGGCUCAUAAUUACCAUGUGACCUUGUUGUUCUUCAUUCUCCUUUGAUCCAGGUGGGGAUGAGACCAAUUGAUGCAUCUUAGAUGGCCACUUAGUGUUUAAGACCCCAGAUGCCACGCUUCAAAGUGGGAUGCAGAAUGUUUCCUUAAUAGAAUUUAUUUUGCCAAUUGACUUAGAUGUUCCCUGAAGCCAUAGUCCCCGAACCCCUGCCCUUGCUCCGCUGACCUUCAAAGUAUUCAGUUUAUUCAGGAAAUUUCUUUGCUUUUGAGGACACUUCAUUUUUGUGUUUUUGAGUAAUUUUCCAUUGGUCUUCAUUAAUGCAGAUCUACUGAGUACUAGUUAUAUACUUCAUUUUAAGCAAACUCCAUAAAUAUGAACAGUCUUUUAUGAUUUGCUCAAUAAAAAAGAUACAAGGUUUCUUUAAGUAGUCAGCUCUCCUAGUAGAAGUAACUUAAUUGUUUGAAUUACACGCAUUCUAAUGCCACAAGACAGAACUGUUCUCAGGCGUAAGAAUGCCACAAGACAGAACUGUUCUCAGGCAUGUGGGGAAGACAAAUACUUAGACAAUCACAAGUGUACGAAGUGCUGCCAUAGAGGACAGAGUGCAGCGGAGUAGGACAGGAGCGUUGAACCUUGUUUGGACACGUCAAAGAAGCCUUUUUCUAAGGAACUGAUGUUUACUUAAGUUGAAACCUGAAGGAUGUUUAGGGGUUAGCAAAGUGAAGAGAGAGAAGAGUUCCGGGUAGAGAAAACCGCAUGGAUGGAGUGACUUAAGGCAAGUUGCUUAGCUUCGCAGGGCUUCAGUUUCCUCAUUUGUAAACCGAUGAUGGUAUAACUGCCUCAAAGGCUUGCUGUGAACAUAAAGGUUGUAUUUUAAAUCAUUAUCUUCUAAUUAAUAUUUCUGAAAUGAAGCACAAUCAGUUCGUUCAGGAUAGCUUCUGGGUCAAAAUUUAUGUAUUAAGUUGCUAAAUCUGUGGAUCUACUUACUGUACUUCUCCUCGUAGCCUUUUUUACCUGUCUUAAGGACUUUCUCAUAUUUCAGUGCCAAGAACAAGGUUUUUGUUUUGCUUGUUUAUUUGUUUUAAUUAUAGAGAUCAAAUUCUGGCUGUCAUUGUUGCCUAGGUCUCAUGGUGUGCCAAACUUUUUAGGUCUAUAUUUGUUAUCAGUUAGAAUGCUUCAUCUACAAGUAACAGAAAGGCCAACUCAGUGACUUAACGGUAAACACGCAGACAUUACUUAGAUAACAAGAAGUCUGGGAGUAGGGUGACUAAUUCAGCAGCUCGUCAAAGUCAUCAAGGAUCUAAGUUCAUUUCUUCUUUCUCCCCUGGCUGGCUCCCUCCACGGUCUCAGGUAGACCCCAGAACAUCCAGCCGAGGAAAAGGGACUCUUUCUUUUUGGAUCUCUCUCUUUAUCAGGAACAAAUACCUUUGCCAGAAGCUUUCCUAGCAACCUUGCCCUCAUGUCUCAUUGAACCGAAUUGGGGCAAAUGUCCAUAACCUAAACUAGAGAUGGGACAGCUGGGAUGGGCUUAGGCCAAUGUGAGUUACUUGCUGGGACCUGUUAGGUUUCUAUUAGUAAAGAGAUAGGGGAGUAAAGGAUUUUUCUGAAGGUAUCAAGAACCUGAUGAAGACGUACCCUUCUCUCUCCUUCCCCAAGGUAGCCUGGCCAAUAAUCUUUAUGGGUUAUUAUGCAACCCUAGCAAUUUGUAUCUCCUCCCUGACCUUCUAGUAGGCAACCAGUGACAUCUGCUACAAUAAGGUACACAGUUUGUUAUAUGGAAAGAUAGCCUUCUAGCCAAACUCUACACAAAACGCAUUUGCCAUAUUCCACAUACCAAGUUUGUUUUGUCUGUUGACUCAUAUGUGAUUAGAUGGAGGUCUGUGGUUUCUUCCUAAAGGGUAUGUCGUUAGGAACCUUGGGAGGUGAUACCUUGAUGCUGCCUUUUAGAAAGUGAGCUUUUAGGAAAUUGAAAAAUUCUCUCUUUGUUUUUAAAAUUCCUGUAUGGGAAAAUACAUACGCUCCUUUGUUUUGUACCCUGCAUGGUACCUGGCCUGUGGUACCUGGCCUAUUUGUAUAUUUGAUCAUUGUAUUAGAUAGGCAGAUCAAUAAAAUAUUAAGGAAAUGGAUUAACAAACCAUUUAGAGACAAUAAGAUCAGUGUUUUAACUGUCAGAAUCCUGUCAGACUGUCACUUUUCAAACCGUCAUGUAGAGGCAACAGUUGUCAUCGCAGGAUUCUUUGUUGGACACUAAGAUGAAGAGUUUGAUUUUCCUAUUUCAGUGUUUCAAUGGUUGCAUCCUGGGAGGCAUAAAAGGUUUGCGCUUGACUACUAACCUAAAGGUUGACAAUUCGAAACUACCCAGCAGCACCAAGGAAGAAAGGCCUGGUGAUCUGCUUCCAUAAAGAUCACAGCCAAGAAGGCCCUAUGGAGCAGUUUUACUCUGUAACACAGAGUCACCAUGAGUCAGAACUGACUUGAUGACAAUGUAUUUUAUACUGACUUGGUGAAGUUACUGUCAGUCAUAUGAUUUUCAAAAUUUAAAAUAUAGUAUCAUUUCAUUAAUACAUAGGCCACAUCUUGUUGCAGUUAAAUUUCUGUUUUUGGCAUCAUUUGCUGUAUUGACUCGACGGCAUCUAAUAACAGUAGCUUGAUGUUUAAUGCGAUUUGAUCUAUUAUCACAUAUUAAGGAAAAGAUGAGCCAAAUAACUGGAAGGGAUCUUAGAAAUAAUUUUAUUUCAUCUUCUAUUUUGAGGAUGUUUUGGAUUUAGAGAAUUGAUUUGCCAGGGUCAGAGAACUAAGUCACGUGAAAUACUUUAAAGUGCAUGAAAGUGUACAUUAAUCACAGAUUCAAAUAAAGUCACCAUGUGUAUCUGUUGUCCCUAGUCUUACUCUAACCAGUACCUAAGUACACACCCACAUAAGCAAAAUGAAGUGGGAAACUGGGAUCGUUUUAGGUACCCAAGUAACAAGUGAAGAAGAAAAAAUAAUUCACUUUUGCUUGAAGAAUCUAGAGAACCGUAAUACUUAUUUUUCAGGUAUUUGUCUCAGUUGUCCAUUUUAUGUGCUAGUGUUCACAUUUACCAGGGGAUUUUGUUUCCCCUGCUCUGUUUUCUGAUUUCUGUCAACAGUGGUUUUAUAGCUGUGUGCAGUCAUCUCUGCUAGUUAUAAAUAAAAAAAUAAAAAUGAACUUUCCAUCUGAAUAGAGGAGAGAGAUUAUAAGUGUAGUGUUGUUGAUGUUAUUGCUCUGGUAAAUUGACAGCUUUGAAUUUUUUUUUUCUUUUAAAACUUUUUUUUUUUCCUGAUUACAAAAAUAAAACAUACUAGUAAAAACGUAAAAUAGAAAUAAAAAAAAUAGGAAGUGGACAUUCCUUGAAAUCUUCGUCCCCUGGGAUAACCAUUGUUGAAAAUUAGCUAUAUUAAUUUCCCUCUAUACUUAAAAAAUACGUGUCACUCCACCCCGUGCCGUAUAACCAUACAUAUGUGCAUACAUUUAGCCCUCACAAAAAGAAAAUCCUAUUGUACAUUCUCUCCUGUCGCUUGCUUUUUUCACAGAACACUGUCUUUUGUGUUAUUUGAAACCGUUGUUACAGUCCUGUAACCAUACCAUUGUCAUAGUUCUUCUGUGCUCUGUAUUAUCUGUUUUUAAUGUAUCUUCCUGCUAAUAGCUCUUUGAAGCCUAUUGCUAAUUCUUUGUAUCCACUGCUGUACUUAGCAUGUGAUUUGCACAUAAAACUUGUUAAAGAAUGAUAGAAUCUUUGAGGUAGAGAUGUCUCUUAGAGAUCUACUUGUCCACCUUUUGCUCUUGUAGAAGAGGAGAUCAAGACCUAGGAAGGUUACUUGAUUUGCCAGAAUCACACGGUUGGAGACAGAUGGUGACCUGGUGGGGCAGGCAUUCCACUGGGAGUGAGAGUGCCUUGUUCUGGGCUUUUCUUUGCCACCGGCUCCCAGUAAUCAGAGCGUCUCCUCGCUCUGAGACAUGUCUGUGUUAGUCACGACGAGGGCUCCAGCAGAGCACUGACUGAAACUAGGUUCACACCUGGCAGCCAGGUAAUCCCUGGUUGAGUAAAUCCCAGUGGAACCAGAAAACUUGGCCUUGCUUUCCUUAAUUGGAGCCUGAUGUAGAAUCAGAUACUGAACUGAAAAGCAAGUAUUAGCCAUUACAAAAAGAAUUGAAAUGACUGGUCUGUCCAUAUUUAGAAUUUCUUGUAACCGUUUCCACUGUAUGUAACACUGAAAUCCUUUGUGGUUGUCUGCUGCACAAAUGAAUCUUUGACCUGGCAACUUUAAAUGCUUUUGACACCACUGGGAAUUUGGAGAAUUCUUAAUUUAAUCUGUGCUUGUCCUGGGGUGGGGGCUGGGAGGAGGGAGCUGUACCCUUCUGCGUUGAAGGUUACGACGCUGUUUGUAAACGGUGGCCUGUGCUUCUGGAGCUUAGGUUUACCAGGUGGUGAUUUGGAGCCCAGUAAGUAUCCCAUCCUGUUAUUUCUGGAGGCGGUGAAGUAGCAGCCAAGCGCAGAGGUGAGUGGGAGGUGACUAGAAGCGAGGCUUCAGGAGCUCUUAGCGCAUCUCUGUGCCGGAGGCGGCGGAGUGCUUUACUAACGUGGGACGGGACGGCAGAGCCUGAUUCUUCCUCCCAGGCUGCUGACUUCCUCCGCCUAGCUCGGCCAGAAUAGGCCUCUUCUCUUCACGGGGCUUGGCUGCAGGGAUGAUGGAAACCACUUUUCCCUCCUUCCCCAUACCAGACAUCAUGGGUUUUCUCUCUUUCGUUUAACUGGUUCUCGUUCUCUUUUAAUUAUUUAGCUCUUGGCAAGCAGUGACUUGUCCUGCCAAAGAGAGCAGGCAGGUCGCUGUGCCUGGCCCACUGGCUCCUUGUCUGCGCGGUGUCUGUAGUCCUUCCUCUCAGAGCCUCAUAUUGUUUAUCCUUGAGUAUCGCCCUGAAGGGAAGGUGGAGGUAUUGGAGUGGAAACACACUGAGCAGAUUUUCUGCAGCACCAGUGAUUUUUGAGUUCUCGUUGCAACCUUCUGCUGAGUCACCAUCCACAUGUCUGCCGUGUGGCUGUUUUCCUGCUGGGGAAACGGGAUGUUGCUAACUCUGGAGCGAAGGCUGUGAAGAAUUAAUCAAAGAGGCUGGAUUGCUUCCAGGCUGCAUGAAGGCCUUCCCUCAGCAGAGAAGCGCCUGGCCCUCCUCAUCACCCAGGGUGCAGGGUGUUUAGGUUGUGCCUGGAGUAGAGUUAGAGGUAUAAGACUGACUUCCUUUUUUCAGGGAGCUAAAAAUGUAAUGGGGAAGAUAGGACAUACACAAGAAAGGUGGACAUGUCCGUGUGUGUUCAGUUUGUAAUUUCAAAUAAGUGAUAGGUAUAAUAUGAUGGAUGUUGUUGUUAGGUGCCAUUGAGUCAGUUCCAACUCAUAGUGACCCUGUGUAACAACAGUACGAAACACUGCCCGAUCCUGCGCCAUCCUCCCAAUCAUUGCUGUGCAUAAGCCCGUUGUUGAAGCCACUGUGUCAGUCCAUCUUGUUGAGGGUCGUCUUCUUUUUUGCUGAUCCUCUACUUUAUCAAGAAUGAUGUCCUUCUCCAGGGACUGAUCCCUCCUGAGAACAUGUCCAAAGUAUGUGAGAUGUAGUCUUGCCAUCCUUGCUUCUAAGGAGCAUUCUGGUUGUACUUCUUCUAAGACAGAUUUGUUCAUUCUUUUGGCAGUCCAUGGUAUAUUCAAUAUUCUUCUCCACCACCACAAUUCAAAGGUGUCAACUCUUCUUUGGUUUUCCUUAUUCAUUGUCCAGCUUUCACAUGCAUAGGAGGUGACUGAAAACACCAUGGCUUGGGUCAGGUGCACCUUAGUUCUCAAGCAGACAUCUUUGUUUUUUGACACUUUAAAGGGGUCUUUUGCAGCCGAUUUGCCCAAUGCAAUGCAUUGUCUGAUUUCUUGACUGCUGCUUCUGUGGGUGUUGAUUGUGGAUCCAAGUAAAACGAAAUCCUUGACAACUUCAGUCUUUUCCCCAUUUAUCAUGAUGUUGCUUGUUGGUCCAGUUGUGAGGAUUUUUGUUGUCUUUAUGUUGAAGUGCAAUCCAUACUGAAGGCUGUGGUCUUUGAUCUUCAUCAGUAAGUGCUUCAAGUCCUUCUCGCUUUCAGCAAGCAAGGUUGUGUCAUCUGCGUAUCACAGGUUGUUAAUGAGUCUUCUUCUAAUCCUGAUGGCCCGUUCUUCUUCAUACAGUCCAGCUUCUCUGAUUAUUUGUUCAGCAUACAGAUUGAAUAGGUAUGGUGAAAAGAUACAACCCUGACGCACACCUGUCCUAACUUUAAACCAUGCAGUGGCCCCUUGUUCUGUUCAAACGACUGUCUCUUGAUCUAUGUACAGGUUCCUCAUGAGCACAAUUAAGUGUUCUGGAAUUCCCAUUCUUCGCAAUGUUAUCCAUAAUUUGUUAUGAUCCACACAGCUGAAUGCCUUUGCAUAGUCAAUAAAAUACAGGUAAACAUCUUUCUGGUAUUCUCUGCUUUCAGCCGAGAUCCAUCUGACAUCAGGAAUCAUAUCCCUGGUUCGACACCUUCUUCUGAAUCCGGCUUGAAUUUCUGGCAGUUCCCUGUUGAUAAACUGCUGCAGCCACUUUUGAGUGAUCUUCAGCAAAAUUUUAGUUGCAUGUGAUAUUAGUGAUAUUGUUUGAUAAUUUCUGCAUUUGGUAGAAUCACCUUUCUUGGGAAUAGGCAUAAAUAUACAUCUCCUUUUUUUUUUUUAUUUUUUAUACAUCUCCUCUAGUCGGUUGGCCAGGUAGCUGGCCUCCACAUUUCUUGGCAUAGACGAGUGAGUACUUCUAGCGCUGCAUGAUGGAUAGAACCAGCCAAAUAUUCCAGGCAGGGAUGCAGGAGUGCUGGUACCUUUUCAGGGCCACCAGAAGCCAGGAUCAGUCUGUUAAAUAGAAAUUAAUGUCCUGUUAUGUUAUUCUGGAUCCAGUGGGUCCUUUUUAAAAAAUAUUCUAUAAAAAAUGCUUUUAUUUUCAGUUAGUUGAAGAAAAGACCAUAUUAAAAAGAAAAAAAGACCAAAAGAGAAUCUGAGGCAUUAUAUGUCCCCUGAUAGAUAUACAUAGUACCACCCAUCAAGUAGCCUUGCCGACUAGGUAGAACCUGAAUUUGGUAAGAUUUCUUGAUUUAAAUACAAAUUUAUAGGGAUAGAGAAACAUGGUA